rnacentral:lncRNA from 1 species
UUGACACCGCACUUGCCUGGGAGUCCGCUUGCAAUACCAUAGUUGAUGCCAGAAAUGCCGGCGGCCGCACUUUUGAUGCAUUUGCAAGCUGCUUGCCGGUCUGGUGUUGUUUGGGCGGCGGAGUUGAGAGAUUUUAUGCCGCCGCAGCAACCUGGGGGAACGCCACCAGCACCAUUCCCUGUCAAGUAACCAAUGCAGGGUGCGAGGGAGCUUGUGACUUGACCACAGGUUACGGCCCCUUGAGCCAGGGGUGCACCCACCACCAUGCACAACACCGCCACACAUGCAAGCUUAAGGGACAUUGAGCUAGCCAUAUCGAUUAAUCACAAGAAAAACAAACUUGUAAGGAAAAUGCUUGCUUGGAGUAGUAGUACUAUUGCUGAUUGUCGUGGUUAGGGCUUGAGGGUAGGAGGGUUUUUAUAGCCAAAAGUAGUAGCGGGUGAUGUCUGAAUUUUACUUUCCUAGCUAUUAGGUAAGUUGAGAUUAUCCGAUCCAAACAUUAACACACCACAUUAAAAGUUGAGACCAUUCAAUUAGGUUCAACUGCCAACCUACGUGAUUAUUGUUUUCUUUCAAUACAAUUAAAACCAGCGUCCAUUUGAUUUCACUCAAUCAUGCCUCCACAGCUAGGACUCAAAUAUUGGUUUAACUUUUUUCUAGGUGUUUUCUUAUAAACAUGAGAUUUACAUUUGAUGUAUUUAUAACUGCAUUUAUUGUCAGAAUGAUACCAUUUUAUUAAAAGUAAUUUGAUUUAUAAUUGUUUGUAUAUAUACUUUUAUAUAUUAAGUCUUUAAUUGAAUUGGUAUUACGAUUCACCCAAGCAUCUAUUUAAUUGAAAAUUUGUUAAAAUAUUCAUAUAACAAAUAUUAAUAUAAAUGUAUUUUUAUUUUUAUUAUAAAUAAAACUAUAAUAAGAUUUAAACUUAUGACUCAUAAAUUUUACUCUUUUUAACUUAACUAUUUCAACUAAAAUUUUAUUUAGUUUUAAUAUAAAUUUUUAUAAAUAUAUUAUUUACAUGAAUUUUCCUUUUCCAGGCGGUAUGCCAUGGAACUAAUAUAAAAUAUAAACAAAUGGUUAUUUUGUUAUUUUCAAUGGAAAAAAAAAACUUCACAAGAUUAGGACACAUGCAUGGUUUUUUUAAUAUAUAUAUAUAUAUCAUGCAACAUUCUAAAUCUAUUUAUAGAUUAUUUUGUUGAUUGAAUUUUUAUUUUUUUUUAUUUUGGUAAUUAUAUAAAACUAAAUAUUUUCUUCGCGCAAUGUUAAGAGCAGUUUGAAAUUUAAAAGAAGUGUGGAUUCUAAUAAUAAAUUUAGUUAUCUAAUGUUUACAUAUUUUAUUAAUUUGGCCUUAAAUAUAAAAAUUAAAUUCAACAAAAUUAGCCCUCAAUGUUUACAAAAUUUUUCAUUUUAGUUCAAAUUCUAAAAUAAUCCAAUAAAUUUAGCUCUCAACAUUUAUAAAAUGAAAGGAUUUGAUUUUUAAAAUUUUAAUUUUUUUUUUAAAAACCCAAAACACAAACCUAAAUAAACUGAAAAAGAAGAAGGAAUAAUUAUCAUCACCACGACCUAAUCUCUCAACUUUAAAAUAAGACUUCAACUUCGGUUUAACCCCAAGACAAGGCGAAACAUUGAAAGUAAGUGCAGCGGAUGCCAUUGAUUCUCCUACCUUUUGGCUAAACACAUAAAUUUGAACAACUUCAUACAUAACUAGCAGCAGUACUAAAAAAUCAUUAAUACUAUAUUUUCAAGUACAAGAAAUUGAAAAAAGAAUCACGGGUAGAGUACAAAAAUGAAAUUUGGUGUGAACCUAGAUUAACAAAACAAGGUUCACGGUUUCUCAAAAACACAAUACUAUAUUUUUAGAAUUUCUUGUGAAGAUCAAGCAAUGAGACAAAUACUGAAAUUGUGCCUUAAUAGCAAAUAAUAAUUCAAACCAAUGUAGAAAAAAGAUGAAGAAGAAGAAGAUAGGAAAAGAAUUUUUAGUUUACAUUAAAAGCCUUGAAAAGGUAGACCGAUAGGAUUGAUUGUUUUGAAUAUUACUCAACUUUCUCAUUAAUUCUUGUACUAUUAUGGCUAAGUGUGUUUUUAGAUGGUAAUGAAUUUUUUUAAUUGUUAAUAAUUUUUACAAUUAUUACACUUGAUUUGGCAGUUGUUUUUCUUUUUAAUUUACAAAAUUUUAAAAAAUUAAAAAUUUCUAUUUUGUAAAUGCUAAGAGCUAAAUUUAUUAUUAUUUAUUUUAGAAUCUAAACUAAAGUGACAAAUUUUGUAAAUAUUUGGUGUUAAAUUUAUUGGAUUUUUAUAUUUAAAAUCAAAUUGAUAGAAUGUGUAAAGAAAGUUAAUUUUUUUAUUAGACAAAUAAAAAAUAACCCAUUUCAACACUUCCGAAAAAUUUUCAAACGGCCGUUAACAUUUAGUGACGAAAAUAUUUGAUUUCAUAUAAUUUAAUAAUUAAAAUAAAAAUAAUUAAAAAUUUAGUAAUCAAAGUAAAACACAAGUGAUAUUAUUCUAGUGAUCAUUUCUGUACUUGACCCUAAUUUUUUUUUCAAAACACUGUUAAAAAACGAUUAAUUUCUCGUUUUGGCCGGAGUUAAAAUUUUUAAUAUAUUUGUUUUUAUUAAAUUUAAAAAUUAUAAUUUUACAUAAUAUAUUUUUGAUAGAAUACAUAUGAUAUAAUUUUAAUCAGUGACACCUGUUAAAGCUUGUUAGAUCUCCUGUAUCUCUUUCAAUCUGGUGGUAAAUGAAGCAAUCAAUGAGUAUUACAACCAGCCACAUGUCAUUCAAUUCACAUUAUAUCAAUCUUUUCCCUUUUCUCUCAUUUUGGUAGUUAAUUCCUUUUUUUGUCAUCGAAAUUAUAUUUUUUUCUCAAAUUGAUAAUUUCCUUAAUCCGUUAAGUUUGUUAAAAGAAACCUUAAUCUUAUUUAAAUUAUAUCUUUUUUUAUUUAUUUUGAUACUUAAACAUUUUUGUCACAUGUGGUAUGUAAUUUAUUUUUUCUUAAGUUGUUAGUUUAAUUAUUACUCAAAUAGUUAAGUCUAUUUAAAAAAAGAUAACUAUUUAAAAAUUACCAUAUUCGAACUAGCUAGGCCAUUAGUUCCUGGUUUAAUCAGUUUAUCUAGUUUGAUGAAAUCAAUUAUUAAAAAUUCAUAAAAAUAAAAAUGUUAAAAAAUAGAGAAAACUAGCUCAACUAGUUUUUUUUUUAAGCUCGACUCAAUCAAUCUGUAUUAGUUUGUAGGUUAAUCGGUUCAAGCCCUAUCUCCAAACUAGUAUCCCAGUUGGUUCCUAGUAUUAAGGGUGAGCAAAAUUUGAAUCGACUCGAAAAAAUUUAAAAAAGUUCGAAUUUUGAAUUAUUCGAAUCGAGUUAAUCGAAUCAACUCGAUUUUUUUUUAAUUUCAAGUUCGAGUCGAGUUGAGUUUUUGAAUUCAAAUAACUCGAAUAAUUCGAUUAAGCCGAAUACCAAACUAUAAUAUUUUACAUUUUACCUCAAACCCCAAACCCUUUUACUUUUCCCCCAAAACUUUACUCAUUCCUCCUUGUCUGCCCCUGUAACGCCCCAAAUUUUGAAUUGUUACUGUUAGUUUCUAUUUAUAAGUAAGUAUUUGCUUCAGUGGUUAAGUGUUAUGUGUUGGUGUUUGGAUCGGGGGUUCAAGUUAUACUUUUAGAGAAUUUUAUUAUUCUUUUGUUUCAACUCUUAUCCUUGAAUGUUUGAAUUAAGUUUGUAUCUGCAUUAAUUUGUGUCAAGAACGAGUCUUCUAGUUUAAUGGUUAAGUUUUGUAUUACCUAUGGUCUCGUGUUCGAGUCUCUGCGUAGGCAAUAAAGAAAUAUUUUGGCGUGCUAUCGGGAAAUCAGUUUUAUUUUAAUAAUUAUUUUUAUUUAAAACUUAUUUUUAGUUUUUUUUAUUUUGGUUCUUCUCCUUCCUUACUGUUCAUUUCCUUCUUCUUUUUUCUCCUUUUGUAACACCCCUAACUCGAAUCCGUCGCUGGAACAGGGUUAGGAGUAUUAUCGAAGUUUACAAUUUAAACAGGCAGAAAAAUUAAACAUUUCAUAACAUAUAGCAUUCAUGUUAGAAACCAAUCAUAAUUAUGCAUAUUGUCCCUAAUACGAGCCCUCGAGGCCCAAAAUACACCUUAGAAAUAAUUCGGGACUAAAUUGAAAAUUCGGAGCAUUUUUUAGAAACUUAUAAAAUUUUUAAAACUACAGGGGUCACAUGGCCGUGUGGCUAGGCUGUGUGACUCAUAUGGCCAACAGACACGCCCAUGUCUUAGACCGUGCGGGUAUUCGAAAUAGGGACACACGGUCGUGUCCCAGCCUGUGUCCAUGCCCGUGUAACUCACUAACUUGGGCCACACGGUCAAGCCAUACGCCCGUGUGCCAGGCAUUGUGAGCAUACUAACUUGCAUUCUUUAAAAGAUACAGGGGACACACGGCCAUGUCACCUGACCGUGUGUGACACACGCCCGUGUCUCUGCCCGUGUGGACAAAAAUAGGCUAUUUUUCAAGUCAUAAAUAUUCAUGUAUUCUUUAAAAGAUACAGGGGACACACGCCCGUGUCUCUGCCCGUGUCUCUGCCCAAUUUGGUACCAACCUAAACACAACAAUUUGCAUAUAACCAAGUCAUAAAUAGGCACCCAAAACCAGCCAAAAUCAAGCUUAAAACAUGUAAUAUCAUCACAUACAACCAAUAUGCCCUUAGGCACCUCAAAUGACAACUUAUAAUAUUAAUAUUCAUGUAUUCAAUAUAGCCAAAUGUAUAACUCACUUAUAUGCAUAUUUUCAUCCAAAGUUUAUUAAGCAAAUUUACAUCAUUUCUUACCAAAUUACUUACCUUCCAAAACAUAUUAUUUGGUGCUAAAAUGUAUUUAACAUACUAACAUAUUUAACUUAUAUGCCUUACAUAUCCAGACACCAAUUCAUGAUCAAUUCUUCACAUUUCAAAACACAUAUAUGAAAUGCACAUUAGGUUACCUUUUUACCACUAUUUAUUCAAUCAUGAACCAAACUACAUGUCAACCAUAAUAAGCAAAAUAUGCACAUAUCCAAAAUUCCAUAACACAAACAAAACAAAUGGCUAAUCUCAACAAAACACAUAUAAGCCAACAUUGGCCAAACUAAUCUAUACAUGCCAUUAUAACCGAAAUUAAACAACCGAAUGUACCAAAAGAGCCAAUGGAUAGUGUGAUAUAGCUCCGACAAGCUUCCAACCAGAACGAGCUUUCGAAUCACUAAAAACACAGAAAAUAACACAGAGUAAGCAUUCAAGCUUAGUAAGUUCAUAUAGCAUAUAAUUUAACUUACCAUUUAGUCACAUUUAAGGUAAGCAUACAAAACAUAUCCAAACUCAAUUAGGAUAAAAGCCUCAACACAUAUCCUCAUCAACCAUGUUAGUCAUGUAAUUCAUAUAAAUAUCAAGAAACAUGUAUGAGCUCAACAAUAAUCAAACUUCUAUGUACAUAUAAUUUCCACAUCAUGUAUUUACAUAUCAUGUACAAAUCAUUUUCAUAUAUCUCAUGUAAAUACAUGUAGUAGUUUGUAUUGAACUCGUGUAAUAUCAUAACAGAACAGUGCCCGUUGAACCAUUUAGAUUAUUUUUGGAUACGCGGAUAGUACACAUGAGGUGUACUGAACUGUAAUUCAUCAAUUCAUGUACAUGUAUGCUCAUAUGAGCUAUAAACAGUAAGCUCCUCUGAAAUGAAUAACAAUAAGCUUGUACAAGCUGAAUAUCGGUAAGCUCAUAUGAGCUGAGUAUCGGUAAGCUCAUAAGAGCUGAAAUCGAUAACCCUAAUGACAUGUUUACCAAGCCAUGACAUUCCACUAACACAUUUAACCUUUAAAAUUAUUUCAAUUUACAAGUUUAAGAAAGAACAUAAAAGAUGAUACUUGGCUUUAUUUUACUAAAUUUUGUUAUUUACUUAAUUACUUAUUUAACCUUUAAAAUCAUUUCAAUUUACAAGUUUACUAAGCCAUGACAUUCCACUAACACAUUUAAGGGUUAUUUACCAUAUAAGGACCUCUACUUUAAAUUUUUAUAGCUAUUUAAUACCUUUAGCUAUUAGAACUUUACUUUUACACUUUACGCGAUUUAGUCAUUUUUAUCAAAUUGAACAUGUAAACGGUAAAAUUUCUUAACGAAAUUUUCAUAUGGUAAUAUUAUCAUGUUUUCGACCAUAAAAUAAUAAUAAAAUAAAAUUUUUUACUUCAUAUUUGUGGUCCCAAAACUACUAUUCUGAUUUCACUGAAAAUGGGUUGUUACACCUUUCUUGCUUGAUUGCUUCCGUAAGUUUGCUAUCGUGCUUAAUUGGGCAUUCUGUGUGGUUUCUUACAUUGAUUGCAAGGAUAUUGCGUAAGUUAUGUUCUUGUUUUUUACCUAUUUUUUCUAGACUUCGUCUGUUUCGUCGAGGUUAGAUAUUACUGUUAAUGGUUGUAAAAUCUCGUUAAUAGUUCCAAUGGAUCUUCUUUUAGGAAAAGGUUUCAAAAGUAACAUUUCCCUGUGAGAUUAGGUCCGAAUUGUUGUUGCUUGCUUGUCAGUAAUUGAAAAUUUCUAUUUUGGAUAGCUGCGUCGAAGUUUUCGACGAACGUUAGUUUUGAGUGCUAAUUUUGGCAUUUUGAGUUGAUUUAGUCAUUUAAUUGGUCAAUUAAUUGUCGUUUUAGGUUUCAGAUUCUUGUGUGUUGCUUCUACAUCGAAACUACAUCAAGUGUGUAACGAAAACUCAUUUUUCUAUGAUUUACGAAUGCUAGAAAACAUGGCUGUUAAUCACACGACCGUGUGUUAGGCCAUGUAACUUACUGUUUAUGUAUUAAAGUCACCGAGCCAAGGACGUGGGCAUGUGUCCUAGUCGUGUAACUUACUAUUUGUGGAUUGGAGUCACACAGGCUAGGGACACGUUUGUGUGUCCAGACUGUGUGAAGGAAAUUUUAUGAAUUGAGUCACACAAGCGUGUGCUUGACUAUGUCAUAGACCGUGUAACUCACUUUUUUGAGCCACACGAUCGUGUGCCAGGCCGUGUGAUAGAUCGUGUGCUACACGGGCCAGCCUUCCGGGACAUGUGAAUCCACACAAGUGUGUGGGUCAAAAUUUCAAAUUUUUUAUUAGGGCCGUAAACAUCAUUCCAGUCAAACGUAGGCCUACUGUAGGGUCUGGAUGAUCUGAUUUGGGUUAUAAAACCCAUUGACUAGUUAUCUGUUUCUGUAUAAACUGUUAUUUUAUAUACAUCAUAGAAUUGUAAACUAGAGAGUAGUUGUAUUCUGUAUUAAUUGAGUAUAACCUGAAAUUUGUAACAUCGUAUGCUUAUAUCUGUAUCUGUAACAUUGCAUCUGCAUUGGGGUUGGGAUUGAAUAAGGAGGAAGUUAUGGCAGUUAAAUAAUCUGCUAAGACCGGUGGCUAAGACACGUAAAUGUAUCUAAUUUUGGUGACUUUCGCAUUCUGUCCUAGCAAUUAGUCUGCAACCUUUUGAACGUGACAUAUGGUCACUAUGUGGUGUGUAGGGACGAUACCCUUUUUGGUGUGUAGGGUUGGAUGAAGAUGGUGUGUAAUUGACAUAUUCUACUCUAUUUCCGUAUAUAAUUCUGAGAACUGUUCGAACUUUAAGAAAUUGAAGAUCUAUUUUGUUGUUUCACUUAAUAAUAAUAUAAGUUAUACGCUAUGUAUAACACCCUUUACCCGAGACCGUGGUCGGAGUCGAGCAUGAGGUGUUACUUGACUUAAAUUAAAAGUUCAGGGCAUAAAAAUUUACUUUCAAAAUUAAUUUCACCAUUCACAAUAAAGUUGUCCACCUGAGCAGCAGUCACUAAAUUAAUUAUAACUCAAGCUAAGAAACUCGAAAUUUAGAUUCGUAAAUUUUCCCUGAAACUAGACUCAUAUAUCUAUUCACAAAAUUUUUUUAGAAUUUUUGAUUUGACCAAUUAGUACAGUUUAUUAGUUGAAGUCUCCCCAGUUUCACUAAUCGACUAUCCUGACCUCUCGUCACUAAAAUUCAAUUAUCUCAUUAUACACACUUGGCAUGCUGAUUCCACUUAUUUAUACUUAAAAUAUACUCAUUAAGGAAUUUAAAAAUAUAAUUUAUAACUCAUAAUUCUAUUUGUACAAUUUUUAAUGAAUUUCUAAAGUCAGAACAGGGGACUUCAGAAUCAUUCUGACUCUGUCUCACUAAAAUUAAAAUAUCUAAAAGUAUAUAACUCUUUUACUUACUCUAUUGCUUUCAUGUGAAAGUAGACUCAUUCAGAUUUAAUUUCAUCUCUCGCUAAACUUAUAAUUCUAUUUCUACAAUUUUUGGUGAUUUUUCAAAGUUACAUCAAUGCUGCUGCCCAAAAAUAGUUCCAUUGAAAUUUUUUUAAAAAAAUUCAAUAUAACCCCUUUAUAAUUAUCUAACCUUCCCUGCAAAUUUCAAAUCACAACCAAUUUCAGUAUUUCAACUACUUCACUUAAAUACUAAUGAAGUUCAACUAAUCAACCAUUUCAAACUAAAAACAUGUAUAGUUCAAUGUUUAACACAACCAUCACAUUCAAAUUUAUUCAUUCUAUUACUUUUUACUUCAAUUCCCUAUACAUGUCAUAUAAAUCCAAAAAGUUGUUUAACAAAAUCUACAGGAGUAAAUCUGGAUAGUGUGAUUCUUGGUGUAGAUCUGAUCCUCCGAAUGUAUAAAUACGUCAACCUACAAGAAUCAAUAAACACACAAUUAAGCGUAUAGAAAGCUUAGUAAGUUCAUAGGCACCAAACAUAAAUCUUACCAAACAUUUAUACACUUAUACAUUAUACACCAUUACUAAGUUUACCUGUCAACCACAAUCUUUGGUGAGCUCCUUAGUAUAAACUCACUACUACUUAUUCUUUUACCAUAAUUCCUUUGGGCCCAUUUGUCACUUACCAUCCUUGAUCAAAAUUAAGGAACGGUUACGGAAAAUUGAGUACUUCACUUUCACUUUGCCAUAGUAUAACUAUGGUCUUACGUAUGAUCAAGCAUCACUUGUCCUUGAUAAGAUAAGUGUAGCUAGGCAACCACUUAUCACUUUGUCACUUGAUCAGAUAAGUGUAGCUAAAGCUACCACUUAUCAUUUUAUCACCACUUAUCACUUGUUCUUGAUUAGAUAAGUGUAGCUAAAGUUACCACUUAUCACUUUGUCACCACUUAUCACUUGUUCCUAAUCAGAUAAGUGUAGCUAAAACUACCACUUAUCACUUUGUCACUUGAUCAGAUAAGUGUAGCUAAGCUAUCACUUAUCACUUUGUCACUUGAUCAGAAGUACUCAAAUCCGGUGUUCUACUCAAUUUGAUCAUUUAUUCAGUUUUCACAUUUUUAUUUUAUUCUCAUUUCAUCAAUAAAUAUAUAUAUUUCAUCAUACAUUAUAUAAUUCAUGAAAUUAACAUUUAAUCAUUAAAUUUUAGCCAUAUGAACUUACCUGGGUUGAUUUGCUGAAUUUGUAAAAGUUUAGGGACUAAUCAGCUACUUUUUCUUUUCCUCGACUUGUUUCGGGUUCUCAAUAUGAUUCAAAUAUAUGAAAAACCAACUUGGAGGGACUCUUCAAUGGUGUUUUUUGCUAAAAAAUAUGAGGAAUUGCCUAGAAACACUUUUAGUUAAGAUUUUUAUUUGUUAAUUUUUACAAAAUUUCCAAUUUUGCCCUUAUUACAUCACUUUUUCAAAUUUUUCUUCUCUUAUGUCGUCUCAACUAUUCCAUAUUGGCAUAUUUAUGCCUUAAGUCCCUCCUUAUUUACCACUUAAGCUAUUUAAUCACUUUUAACAAAUUUUACAUUAUUUUCAGUUUAAUCCUUUUUAAUUAAUUAACCACCCAAACGUUAGAAUUUUCUAACGAAAAUUUAAUACCAACUCAAUGACACUCCAUAAAUGUUUCUAAAAAUAUUUAUGGCUCGAUUUAUGAGGUUGAGGUUUCAAUACCUCAUUUUCGAUUCUAAUUAUUUUAAUAUUUAUUCUUAGUACACUAUUCACUAUUUCAAAAAUUUUCCUAACUUCGCAUUUAACUUAUACUCACUAAAUUAAUAAUAUUUUCUACUCAUUUGUCAAAUUUAAUGAUCUCGAAUUACCAUUCCGACACCACUGAAAAUUCAGGCCAUUACAACUCUCCCCCCAUUUUGGAAAUUUCAUCCCCGAAAUUUCGUACCUGAAAAUAAAUUCGGAUACUGAAAUCUCAGCAAUUCCUCUGUUUCCCAGGUUGCCUCCUCUUUAACCUUAACUAGUGGUACAUGUUUAUUCCUCAACUCUUUAACCUUCUGAGCUAAAAUUUUCACCGGUUCCUCUGAAUAAGUCAUGUCAGGUUGAAGCUCUAUUUCCGUAUGAGGAAUUACAUGUGAUGGAUCUGAUCUGUACCGUCUCAACAUAGACACAUGAAACACAUUAUGAAUCUUUUCAAGUUCCGGGGGCAAAGCUAAUCUAUAGGUUACCGGACCGAUUCUUUCAAUGAUUUCAUACGGCCCAAUAAAUCGUGGGCUGAGUUUCCCCUUUUUGCUGAACCGCAAAACUUUCUUCCACGUGACACUUUCAAAAAUACACGAUCACCCACAUUAAACUCUAUAUCCCUUCUCUUCAAAUUUGCAUAUGAUUUUUGCCGAUCGGAGGUAGCUUUUAAACAAUCUCGAAUAAUACGAACUUUUUCUUCAGUUUCCUGAGUCAAUUCCACUCCCACCAGUUUCGAUUCACUUAAUUCAGACCAAUAUAAUGGAGUUCUACACUUUCUUCCAUACAAAGCUUCAAACGGUGCCAUUUUAAUGCUAGUUUGAUAACUAUUAUUAUAAGCAAAUUCGGCUAAAGGUAAAUACCUUUCCCAGCUACCGCCGAACUCAAGUAUACAACACCUUAACAUAUCUUCUAAAAUCUGAAUCACUCGCUCUGACUGCCCAUCUGUCUAGGGAUGAAAAGCUGUGUUGAAAUUUAAUUUGGUGCCUAAAGCUUCCUGUAAUUUACUCUAAAAUCUCGAGGUAAAUCUCGGAUCUCGAUAUGAAAUAAUAGAUGUCGGUACCCCAUGUAACCUCACUAUCUCAGACACAUAUAACUCCGCUAACUUUUCAAGCUGAUAAUCUGCUCUGACUGGAAUAAAAUGUGCUGACUUAGUUAACCGAUCAACAAUCACCCAUAUUGAAUGUUUCUUCUUCAGAGUUAUUAGUAAUCCAGAUACAAAAUCCAUUGUAACAUGUUCCCAUUUCCAAUCUGGAAUCAUAAUGGGCUGUAACAACCCUGUCGGCACUUGAUGCUCAGCUUUCACCUGUUGACAGAUCAAACAUCUUGCUACAUACUCAAAGAUUUCCCGUUUCAUUCCGGGCCACCAAUACAUUUUCUUCAAAUCACAAUACAUUUUUGUACUACCCGGGUAAAUAGAACACAUACUACUGUGAGCCUCUGAUAAAAUAUCAUUUUUCAAGUUUAAAUUAUUCGGAAUACAUAUUCUAUUACGAUAAUAUAACAUACCAUUUUCAUCAAUGGAGUAUUCUGAGCUUAACUUAUCUUGAACCAUCUGUCGUUUUAUCAUCAAUUUUGGGUCAUCAUCCUAUAACUCCCGAAUCCGUUGAAAAAACACGGGUUUAGCCUUUAAUUCUGCUAGUACAGAACCAUCCUCAUUAAUAGAUAAAUGAGCAUUCAAUGCCCGUAGUGCAAAUAAUGAUGAUUUCCGACUAAGCGCAUCUGCUGCGGUAUUUGCUUUCCCUCGGUGAUAGUCAAUGACAAGAUCAUAAUCUUUCAGCAACCCCAACCAUCGUCUCUGUGUCAAAUUUAACUCUUUCUGAGUCAUUAAAUACUUCAAGCUUUUAUGAUCAGUAUACACGUAACAUUUCUCACCAUAUAAGUACUCUUCAUAUCUUCAAAGCAAACACGAUCGCUGCCAAUUCCAAAUCAUGUGUAGGAUAAUUCUUCUCGUGCGGUUUCAGUUGCCGAGAAGCAUAUGCCACCACUUUGCCUGACUGAAUAAGUACACAGCCCAACCCAUUUACAGACGCAUCACUAUAUACUACAAACGGUACACCCGAUUCUGGUUGAGUCAACACUGGAGCCUCUGUCAACAUCUUUUUCAACUAAUCGAAACUCCGCUGACAUUCAUCUAACCAUAUAAAUUCAACAUUCUUUUGUAGCAAUCGAGUCAACGGUAAGGUAAUCAUUGAGAAAUCUUUGACAAAUCGACGAUAAUAACCUGCCAAUCGUAGAAAACUCUGCACUUCAGUCACAUUCUUCGGAACUUUCCAAUUUAUCACUGCUGCUACCUUACUUGGAUCCACUCUUAUUCCAUCAGCUGAUACAAUAUGACCCAAAAACGCAACUUCAUGGAGCCAAAAUUCACAUUUGCUAAAUUUGGCAUACAAUUGUUUCUCCCACAAAGUCUGUAAUACAAUCCUUAGAUGUUGUGCAUGUUCGGACUCUGUCUUUGAAUAAAUCAAUAUAUCGUCAAUGAACACAACCACAAAUCUAUCCAAAUAUGACUGAAAAAUUCUAUUCAUCAAAUCCAUAAAAGCAGCAGGGGCAUUGGUUAAACCAAAUGGCAUCACCAAAAAUUCAAAAUGACCAUAUUGAGUUCGAAAGGCAGUUUUCGGCACUUCACACUCUUUAACUUUCAACUGAUAAUACUCGGAUCGAAGAUCUAUCAUGGAAAAUACUGCAGCACCUUUCAACUGAUCAAACAAAUCAUCAAUAUGAGGCAAAGGAUUUUUAUUCUUUACUGUUACCUUAUUCAACUGUCUGUAAUCUAUACACAGUCUUAAAAAACCAUCCUUCAUUUUCACAAACAAGACAGGUGCACCCCAGGGCGACAUACUCGGUCUGAUGAACCCUUUAUCUAAUAACUCCUGCAGCUGCGCCUUCCGUUCUUUUAACUCGACUGGAGCCAUUCUGUACGGUGUCAUUGAGAUAGGAGUUGUUCCGGGGAUCACAUCAAUUACAAAUUCAACUUCUCUAUCAGGUGGUAGACCGGGUAACUCUUCAGGGAAUUCAUUCACCAUUGGCACUUGUUCGAGCUUCAAAUCAGAACCCUGAGUAUCCAGGAUAUAGGCCAAGAAUGCUUCGUUGCCUUUGCGUAAUAACCUCUGAGCAGAGAGAGCUAAAAUAAUUCUGACUGUAUCACCCAGCUUUUCAGACCCAACUGAGAUUAUAUCUCCCGUUUGACAUUUCAAACUGAUCUGUUUAUCACGACAAUUCACUACCACAUCAUGUCUCAUUAACCAGUCCAUCCCCAGAAUAAUGUCAAAUUCCCGAAAAGGUAACAACAUCAAAUCAGCGAGGAAUUCAUAGCCUUUCACUUUCAGUGGACAAUUACGACAUAUCAAAUUAACCAUCACACUUUGACCUAAUGGGUUUGUGACUUGUAUAUCAAAUUCAGUGGACUCAACAGAUAAUUUCUUUUUAGAUGCUAACAUAGUGCAAAUAUAUGAAUGAGUAGAUCCAGGGUCUAUCAAUGCAUAAACAAUAACAUCAUAAAGAUAGAAAGUACCAGCAAUUACAUCAGGAGCCGUAGCCUCUUUCCUUGCUCGAAUGGCGUAGGUACGUGCUGGUGCUCUAUUCUCUGAUCGACCAACUGAUUCCCUCGUACCCGAACGGGUAGUCCCUGUAGCACUGCUCUGGCCCGAACGUCUACUUUUUUGGGGAAUGGUUCUCUGUAUUUCUUUCUGUUCCACUUCAUCUUUUUAUAGUCGGGGACAAUCUCGAAUAAGAUGAUUAGUACCCCCACAUUUUUAACAAGCCCCCAUCUUGGUCCUGCAUUCUCUGAAAUGAUAUCUUCCACAAUAUUGACACUUAGGCCGGGGAACAUUCUGAACACUGCUCACACUUGCUGGAGGUCUAUCGAAUACCCUGAAAUCAGAUUGUCUUGGUCUAUCUCUACCCGAUCUUCUCGACAUUGAUGUAGUUCGACUAAUUUCUUCUCUAGAUUUGUUCACUGGUAAAUCUAAAAAUGACUUAGAAGCACCUCUUUUGAAUGGCUCUUUACUUUUUCGAUCCCGCUACAUUUUUCUGUUGUAUACUUCUUCGAGCUUUUGAGCACGGUUUGACAGAACAGGGAACUCUCGUAUUUCAUUACCCCCAAUCAUCAUUCUAAUUUCAUCAUUUAACCCUUCUUCAAACCUGAUACACAUUUCUUCUUUAAUAAGUACAAUGUCUCGGGCAUAUUUGCUGAGGUAGACAAAUUCUCUUUCGUAUUCAGCCACUGAUUUAUCUCCCUGGCGUAGGUCGAGAAAUUCCCUUUUAUUUUUAUCCAAAUACCGUCUGCCCACAUAUUUCUUCUUAAAUUCAUUUUGGAAAAAUUCCCAAUAAAUUUUCUCUGUCGGAACCACAUCCUCAAUCGUCUCCCACCAACUAUAAGCUUCUUCUUUCAAUAGAGACACAACACAUCUCAAAUAAUCAUCUGGUGAGCAAGCCAUUUCUUUAAAAAUUCUUAUUAAACUCUGUAACCAAUAUUCAGCUUUGACGGGAUCUUUAUCAGUCCUUCCCCGAAAUUCUUCGGCUCUAAGUUUUUUAAGCCUUUCCAAUGGAGAACGCUUUCUGGAUUCAGUCGUUGUAAAAGGUGGAGGAGCAACCGGGUGUACCACCGAUGGAGCAGUAGGGGGAGGAGGUGGUUCAGCCUGAUUUCUUUCUUGCCUCAUUUCAGUAUAUCAUUGAUUCAUAAUCCCAUAAAUCAUAUUCUUUAACUCUUGCUCUCGCAUUUGGGAGAUCGGAACAUCACUGCUUGUUCUUUGUUUAGAAUUAUGUAUUCUACUAUUAACUUCUUCUUUCUCAGUACGUUUAGGUAUAUCUAACAUCUCCAUAACCGGAGAAUAUCUACUAUUAACUUCUUCUUACUGGAUUCAGUCGUUGUAAGAGGUGGAGAAGCAACCGGGGGUACCACCGAUGGAGCAGUAGGCAGAGGAGGUGGUUCAGCCUGAUUUCUUUCUUGCCUCAUUUCAGUAUACCACUGAUUCAUAAUCCCAUAAAUCAUAUUCUUUAACUCUUGCUCCCGUAUUUGGGAGAUCAGAACACCACUGCUUGUUCUUUGUUCAGAAUUAUGUAUUCUACUAUUAACUUCUUCUUGCUCAGUACGUUCAAGUAUAUCUGACAUCUCUAUAACCGGAGAAUAUCUAUAAAAAUAACAAAGAUUAGAUCGCAUCAUACGCAUUACACUAUCACAGAUUUAUAUGGCAUGUAUUUCUAAACACUUUACACUUCACACAUAUUCCGAGAACCGGCUAAACCUGGAUCUGAUACCAAUAAAAUGUAACACCCUUUACCCGAGACCGUUUCCAGAGUCGAGCAUGAGGCGUUACUUGACUUAACUUAAAAGUUCAGGGCAUAAAAAAUUACUUUCAAAAUUAAUUUCACCAUUCACAAUAAAGUUGUCCACCCACGCAGCAAUCUCUAAAUUAAUUAUAACUCAAGAUGCGAAACUCGAAAUUUAGAUCUGUAUAUUUUACCUAAAACUAGACUCAUAUAUCUAUUCACUACAAAAUUUUCAGACUUUUUGGUUUGGCAAAUUAGUACAGUUUAUUAAUUGAAGUCUCCCCUGUUUCACUAAUAGACUAUCCUGACCUCUCGUCACUAAAAUUCAAUUAUCUCAUUAUACAAACUUGACUUGGUGUUUUCAAUUAUUUUUACUUAAAACAGACUCAUUAAGGAAUUUAAACAUAUAAUUUAUAACUCAUAAUUCAUUUUGUACAAUUUUUAAUGAAUUUCUAAAGUCAAAACAGGGGACUUCAAAAUCAUUCUGACUCUGUCUCACUAAAAUUCAAAUAUCUAAAAGUAUAUAACUCUUUUGCUUACUCUAUUGCUUUAAUGUGAAAGUAGGCUCAUUCAGCUUUAAUUUCAUCUCUCACUCAACUUAUAAUUCUAAGUCCACAUUUUUGGUGAUUUUUCAAUGUUACAUCAAUACUGCUGUCCAAAAACUGUUCCAUUGAAAUUUUUUUAAAAAAUUUCAAUAUAACCCUUUUAUAAUUAUCUAACCUUCCCUGCAAAUUUUAAAUCACAACCAAUUUCAGUAUUUCAACCACUUCACUUAAAUACUAAUGAAGUUCAACCAAUCAACCAUUUCAAACUAAAAACAUGCAUAGUUCAAUGUCUAACACAACCAUCACAUUCAAAUUUACUUUGCAUAUUUAGGUAUUCAUUCUUUUACUUUUUACUUCAAUUCCCUAUACAUGCCAUAUAAAUCCAAAAACUUGUUUAACAAAAUCUACCGGAGUAAAUCUUGAUAGUGUGAUUCUUGGUGUAGAUCCGAUCCUCUGAAUGUAUAAAUACGUCAAUCUACAAGAAUCAAUAAACGCACAAGUAGGCUUAAUAAACACACAAGUAAGCUUAUAGAAAGCUUAGUAAGUUCAUAGGCACCAAACAUAAAACUUACCAAACAUUUAUACACUUAUACAUUAUACACCAUUACUAAGUUUACCUGUCAACCACAUUCUUUGGUGAGUUCCUUGGUAUAAACUCACUAAUACUUAUUCUUUUACCAUAAUUCCUUUGGGCCCAUUUGUCACUUACCAUCCUUGAUCAAAAUUAAGGAACGGUUACGGAAAAUUGAGUACUUCACUUUCACUUUGCCAUAGUAUAACUAUGGUCUUACGUAUGAUCACUUAUCACUUGUCCUUGAUCAGGUUAGUGUAGCUAGGCUACCACUUAUCACUUGUUCCUGAUCAGAUAAGUGUAGCUAAGCUAUCACUUGUCACUUUGUCACUUGAUCAGAAGUACUCAAAUCCGGUGUUCCGCUCAAUUUGAUCAUUUAUUCAGUUUGCGCAUUUUUAUUUUAUUCUCAUUUCAUCAAUAAUAUAUAUAUAUAUAUAUAUAUAUAUAUAUAUAUAUUUCACCAUACAUUAUAUAAUUCAUGAAAUUAACAUUUAAUCAUUAAAUUUCAUCCAUAUGAACUUACCUAGGUCGAUUUUCUGAAUUUGUAAAAGUUCAAGGACUAAUCAGCUACUUUUUCUUUUCCUCGACUUGUUUCGGGUUCUCGAUAUGAUUCAAAUAUAUGAAAAACCAGCUUGGAGGGACUCUUCAAUGGCGUUUUUUGCUGAGAAAUAUGAUGAAUUGCCUAGAAACUCUUUUAGUUAAGAUUUUUAUUUGUUAACUUUUACAAAAUUUCUAAUUUUGCCCUUAUUACAUCACUUUUUCAGAUUUUUCUUCUCUUAUGCUGUCUCAACUAUUCCAUAUUAGCAUAUUUAUGCCUUAAGUCCCUCCUUAUUUACCACUUAAGCUGUUUAAUCACUUUUAACAAAUUUUACAUUAUUUUCAGUUUAGUCCUUUUUAAUUAAUUAACCACCCAAACGUUAGAAUUUUCUAACGAAACUUUAAUACCAAUUCAAUGACACUCUAUAAAUGUUUCUAAAAAUAUUUAUGGCUCGAUUGAUGAGUUUGAGGUUUCGAUACCUCAUUUUCGAUUCUAAUUAUUUUAAUAUUUAUUCUUAGUACACUAUUCACUAUUUCAAAAAUUUUCCUAACUUCGCAUUUAACUUAUACUUACUAAAUUAAUAAUAUUUUCUACUCAUUUGUCAAAUUUAAUGAUCUCGAAUUACCAUUCCGACACCACUGAAAAUUCAGGCCAUUACAACUCUCCCCCCAUUUUGGAAAUUUCGUCCCCGAAAUUUCGUACCUGAAAAUAAAUUCGAAUACUGAAAUCUCAUCAAUUCCUCUGUUUCCCAGGUUGCCUCCUCAGAUCCAUGUCGAUUCCAUAACACCUUAACUAGUGGUACAUGUUUAUUCCCUAACUCUUUAACAUCCCAAGCUAAAAUUUUCACCGGUUCCUCUGAAUAAGUCAUGUCAGGUUGAAGCUCUAUUUCCGUAUGAGGAAUUACAUGUGAUGGAUCUGAUUUGUACCGUCUCAACAUAGACACAUGAAACACAUUAUGAAUCUUUGCAAGUUCCGGGGGCAAAGCUAAUCUAUAUGUUACCGGACCGAUUCUUUCAAUGAUUUCAUACGGCCCGAUAAAUCGUGGGCUGAGUUUUCCUUUUUUGCUGAACCGCAAAACUUUCUUCCACGGUGACACUUUCAAAAAUACACGAUCACCCACAUUAUACUCUCUAUCCCUUCUCUUCAAAUCUGCAUAUGAUUUUUGCUGAUCGGAGGCAGCUUUUAAGCAAUCUCGAAUAAUACGAACUUUUUCUUCAGUUUCCUGAGUCAAUUCCACUUCCACCAGUUUCAAUUCACUUAAUUCAGACUAAUAUAAUGAAGUUCUACACUUUCUUCCAUACAAAGCUUCAAACGGUGCCAUUUUAAUGCUAGUUUGAUAACUAUUAUUAUAAGCAAAUUCGGCUAAAGGUAAAUACCUUUCCCAGCUACCGCCGAACUCAAGUAUACAACACCUUAACAUAUCUUCUAAAAUCUGAAUCACUCGCUCUGACUGCCCAUCUGUCUGGGGAUGAAAAGCUGUGUUGAAAUUUAAUUUGGUGCCUAAAGCUUCCUGUAAUUUACUCUAAAAUCUCGAGGUAAAUCUCGGAUCUCGAUCUGAAAUAGUAGAUGUCGGUACCCCAUGUAACCUCACUAUCUCAGACACAUAUAACUCCGCUAACUUUUCAAGCUGAUAAUCUGCUCUGACUGGAAUAAAAUAUGCUGAUUUAGUUAACCGAUCAACAAUCACCCAUAUCGAAUCUUUCUUCUUCGAAGUUACUGGUAAUCCGGAUACAAAAUCCAUCGCAACAUGUUCCUAUUUCCACUCUGGAAUCAUAAUGGGCUGUAACAACCCUGUCGGCACUUGAUGCUCAGCUUUCACCUGUUGACAGAUCAAACAUCUUGCUACAUACUCACAGAUUUCCCAUUUAAUUCCGGGCCACCAAUACAUUUUCUUCAAAUCACAAUACAUUUUUAUACUAACCCGGUGAAUAGAACACAUACUACUGUGAGCCUCUGAUAAAAUAUCAUUUUUCAAGUUUAAAUUAUUCGGAAUACAUAUUCUAUUACGAUAAUAUAACAUACCAUUUUCAUCAAUGGAGUAUUCUGAGCUUAACUUAUCUUGAACCAUCUGUCGUUUUAUCAUCAAUUUUGGGUCAUCAUCCUGUAACUCCUGAAUCCAUUGAAAGAACACGGGUUUAGCCUUUAAUUCUGCUAGUACAGAACCAUCCUCAUUAAUAGAUAAAUGAGCAUUCAAUGCCCGUAGUGCAAAUAAUGAUGAUUUCCGACUAAGUGCAUCUGCUGCGGCAUUUGCUUUCCCUGGGUGAUAGUCAAUGACAAGAUAAUAAUCUUUCUGCAACUCUAACCAUCGUCUCUAUCUCAAAUUUAACUCUUUCUGAGUCAUUAAAUACUUUAAGCUUUUAUGAUCAGUAUACACGUAACAUUUCUCACCAUAUAAGUAGUGUCUCCUUAUCUUCAAAGCAAACACGAUCGCUGCCAAUUCAAAAUCAUGUGUAGGAUAAUUCUUAUCGUGCGGUUUCAGUUGCCGAGAAGCAUAUGCCACCACUUUGCCUGACUGAAUAAGUACACAGCCCAACCCAUUUACAGAUGCAUCACUAUAUACUACAAAUGGUACACCCAAUUCUGGUUGAGUCAACAUUGGAGCCUCUGUCAACAUCUUUUUCAACUGAUCGAAACUCCGCUGACAUUUAUCUGACCAUAUAAAUUCAACAUUCUUUUGUAGCAAUCGAGUCAACUGUAAGGUAAUCAUUGAGAAAUCUUUGAUAAAUCGACAAUAAUAACAUACCAAUCGUAGAAAACUCCACACUUCAAUAACAUUCUUCGGAACUUUCCAAUUUACCAUUGCCGCUACCUUACUUGGAUCCACUCUUAUUCCAUGAGCUGAUACAAUAUGACCCAAAAAUGCAACUUCAUGGAGCCAAAAUUCUCAUUUGCUGAAUUUGGCAUACAAUUGUUUCUCUCGCAAAGUCUGUAAUACAAUCCUUAGAUGUUGUGCAUGUUCGGACUCUGUCUUUGAAUAAAUCAAUAUAUCGUCAAUGAACAACCACAAAUCUAUCCAAUUAUGACUGAAAAAUUCUAUUCAUCAAAUCCAUAAAAGCAGCAAGGGCAUUGGUUAAACCAAAUGGCAUCACCAAAAAUUCAUAAUGACCAUAUCGAGUUUGGAAGGCAGUUUUCGGCACAUCACACUCUUUAACUUUCAACUGAUAAUACCCAGAUUGAAGAUCUAUCUUGGAAAAUAUUGCAGCACCUUUCAACUGAUCAAACAAAUCAUCAAUAUGAGGCAAAGGAUAUUUAUUCUUUACUGUUACCUUAUUCAACUGCCUGUAAUCUAUACACAGUCUUAGAGAACCGUCCUUUUUUUUCACAAACAAGACAGGUGCACCCCAGGGCGACAUACUCGGUCUGAUGAAUCAUUUCUCUAAUAACUCCUGUAACUGCGCCUUCAACUCUUUUAACUCGGCUGGAGCCAUUCUAUACGGUGUCAUUGAGAUAGGAGUUGUUCCGGCGAUCACAUCAAUUACAAAUUCAACUUCUUUAUCAGGUGGUAGACCGGGUAACUCUUCAGGGAACACAUUAGGGAAUUCAUUCACUACUGGCACUUGUUUGAGCUUCAAAUCAGAACCCUGAGUAUCCAUGAUAUAGGCCAAGAAUGCUUCGUUGCCUUUGCGUAAUAACCUCUGAGCAGGGAGAGCUGAAAUAAUUCUGACUGUAUCACCCAUAUUUUCAGACCCAACUGAGAUUAUAUCUCCCGUUUGACAUUUCAAAUUGAUCUGUUUAUCACGACAAUUCACUACCGCAUCAUGUCUCACUAACCAGACCGUCCCAAGAAUAAUGUCAAAUUCUCGAAAAGGUAACAACAUCAAAUCAGCGGGGAAUUCAUAGCCUUUCACUUUUAAUGGACAAUUACGACAUAUCAAAUUAACCAUCACACUUUGACCUAAUGGGUUUGUGACUUGUAUAUCAAAUUCAGUGGACUUAACAGAUAAUUUCUUUUCAGAUGCUAACAUAGUGCAAAUAUAUGAAUGAGUAGAUCCAGGGUCUAUCAAUGCAUAAACAAUAACAUCAUAAAGAUAGAAAGUACCAACAAUUACAUCAGGAGCCGUAGCCUCUUCCCUUGCUCGAAUGGCAUAGGUACGUGCUGGUGCUCUAUUCUUUGAUCGACCAACUGAUUCCCUCGUACCCGAACGGGUAGUCCCUGUAGCACUGCUCUGGCCCGAAUGUCUACUUCUUUGGGGAAUGGUUCUCUGUAUCUCUUUCUGUUCCACUUCAUCUUUUUACAGUCGGGGACAAUCUCGAAUAAGAUGAUUAGUAGCCCCACAUUUUUAACAAGCCCCCAUCUUGGUCCUGCAUUCUCCGAAAUGAUAUCUUCCACAAUAUUGACACUUAGGCCGGGGAGCAUUCUGAACACCGCUCACACUUGCUGCAGGUCUAUCGAAUACCCUGAAAUCAGAUUGUCUUGGUCUAUCUCUACCCGAUCUUCCCAACAUUAAUGUAGUUCGACUAAUUUCUUCUCUAGAUUUCUUCACUGGCAAAUCUAAAAAUGACUUAGAAGCACCUCUUUUGAAUGGCUCUUUACUUUUUCGAUCCCGCUGCAUUUUUCUAUUGUAUACUUCUUCGAGCUUUUGAGCACGGUCUGACAGAACAACGAACUCUCGUAUUUCAUUACCCCCAAUCAUCAUUCUAAUUUCAUCAUUUAACCCUUCUUCAAACCUGAUACACAUUUCUUCUUUAGUAGGUACAAUGUCUCGGGCAUAUUUGCUGAGGUAAACAAAUUCACUUUCGUAUUCAGCCACUGAUUUAUUUCCCUGGCGUAGGUCGAGAAAUUCCCUUUUAUUUUUAUCCAAAUACCGUCUGCCCACAUAUUUCUUCUUAAAUUCAUUUUGGAAAAAUUCCCAAUAAAUUUUCUCUGCUGGAACCACAGCCUCAAUCGUCUCCCACCAACUAUAAGCUUGCUUCUUUCAAUAGGGACACAGCACAUCUCAAAUAAUCAUCUGGUGAGCAAGCCAUUUCUUUAAAAAUUCUUAUUAAACUCUGUAACCAAUAUUCAGCUUUGACGGGAUCUUCAUCAGUCCUUCCUGAAAUUCUUCGGCUCCAAGUUUUUUAAGCUUUUCCAAUAGAGAACGCUUACUAGAUUCAGUCGUUGUAGGAGGUGGAGGAGUAACCGGGGGUACCAUCGAUGGAGCAGUAGGGGGAGGAGGUGGUUCAGCCUGAUUUCUUUCCUGCCUCAUUUCAAUAUACCACUGAUUCAUAAUCUCAUAAAUCAUAUUCUUUAAUUCUUGCUCUUGCAUUUGGGAGAUCGGAACAUCACUGCUUGUUCUUUGUUCAGAAUUAUGUAUUCUACUAUUAACUUCUUCUUACUUAGUUCGUUCAGGUAUAUCUGACAUCUUUAUAACUGGAGAAUAUAUAUGAAAAUAACAAAGAUUAGAUCGGAUCAUACGCAUCACACUAUCACAGAUUUAUAUGGCAUGUAUUUCUAAACACUUUACACUUCACACAUAUUCCGAGAACCGGCUAAACCGGGAUCUGAUACCAAUAAAAUAUAACACCCUUUACCCAAGACCGUUGCCCGAGUCGAGCAUGAGGCGUUACUUGACUUAACUUAAAAGUUCAGGGCAUAAAAAUUUACUUUCAAAAUUAAUUUCACCAUUCACAAUAAAGCUGUCCACCUGCGCAGGAGUCACUAAAUCAAUUAUAACUCAAGCUACGAAACUCAAAAUUUAGAUCCGUAAAUUUUCCCUAAAACUAGACUCAUAUAAAUAUUCACCAUAAAUUUUUAAGAAUUUUUGGUUUAUCCAAUUAGUAUAGUUUAUUAGUUUAAGUCUCCCUUGUUUCACUAAUAGACUACCCUGACCUCUCGUCACUAAAAUUCAAUUAUCUCCUUAUACAGACUUGACAUGGUGCUUCCAAUUAUUUUUACUUAAAAUAUACUCAUUAAGGAAUUUAAAAAUAUAAUUUAUAACUCAUAAUUACUUUUUUACAAUUUUUAUUGAAUUUCUAAAGUCAGAACAGAGGACUUCAAAAUCAUUCUGACCCUGUCUCACUAAAAUUCAAAUAUCUAAAAGUAUAUAACUCUUUUGCUUACUCUAUUGCUUUCAUGUGAAAGUAUACUCAUUCAGAUUUAAUUUCAUAUCUCACUUAACUUAUAAUUCUAUUUCCACUAUUUUUGGUGAUUUUUCACAGUUACAUCAAUGCUGCUGUCCAAAAACUGGUCCAUUGAAAUUUUUUAAAAAAAUUCAAUAUAACCCCUUUAUAAUUAUCUAACCUUCCCUGCAAAUUUCAAAUCACAACCAAUUUCAGUAUUUCACCUACUUCACUUAAAUACUAAUGAAGUUCAACCAAUCAACCAUUUCAAACUAAAAACAUGUAUAGUUCAAUGUCUAACACAACCAUCACAUUCAAAUUUACUUUGCAUACUUAGUCAUUCAUUCUAUUACUUUUUACUUCAAUUCCCUAUACAUGCCAUAUAAAUCCAAAAAGUUGUUUAACAAAAUCUACCAGAGUAAAUCUAGAUAGUGUGAUUCUUGGUGUAGAUCCGAUCCUCUGAAUGUAUAAAUACGUCAAUCUACAAGAAUCAAUAAACACACAAUUAAGCUUAUAGAAAGCUUAGUAAGUUCAUAAGCACCAAACAUAAAUCUUACCAAACAUUUAUACACUUAUACAUUAUACACCAUUACUAAGUUUACCUGUCAACCACAAUCUUUGGUGAGUUCCUUGUUAUAAACUCACUACUACUUAUUCUUUUACCAUAAUUCCUUUGGGCCCAUUUGUCACUUACCAUCCUUGAUCAAAAUUAAGGAACGGUUACGGAAAAUUGAGUACUUCACUUUCACUUUGCCAUAGUAUAACUAUGGUCUUACGUAUGAUCACUUAUCACUUGUCCUUGAUAAGAUAAGUGUAGCUAGGCUACCACUUAUCACUUUGUCACUUGAUCAGAUAAGUGUAGCUAAAGCUACCACUUAUCACUUUAUCACCACUUAUCACUUGUUCCUGAUCAGAUAAGUGUAGCUAAAACUACCACUUAUCACUUUGUCACCACUUAUCACUUGUUCCUGAUCAGAUAAGUGUAGCUAAAGCUACCACUUAUCACUUUGUCACUUGAUCAGAUAAGUGUAGCUAAGCUAUCACUUAUCACUUUGUCACUUGAUCAGAAGUACUCUAAUCCGGUGUUCCGCUCAAUUUGAUCAUUUAUUCAGUUUUCACAUUUUUAUUUUAUUCUCAUUUCAUCAAUAAAUAUAUAUAUUUCAUCAUACAUUAUAUAAUUCAUGAAAUUAACAUUUAAUCAUUAAAUUUCAGCCAUAUGAACUUACCUGGGUCGAUUUAUUGAAUUUGUAAAAGUUCAGGGACUAAUCAGCUACUUUUUCUUUUCCUCGACUUGUUUCGGGUUCUCAAUAUGAUUCAAAUAUAUGAAAAACCAGCUUGGAUGGACUCUUCAAUGGCGUUUUUUGCUGAGAAAUAUGAUGAAUUGCCUAGAAACUCUUUUAGUUAAGAUUUUUAUUUGUUAACUUUUACAAAAUUUCCAAUUUUGCCCUUAUUACAUCACUUUUUCAGAUUUUUCUUCUCUUAUGCCGUCUCAACUAUUCCAUAUUAGCAUAUUUAUGCCUUAAGUCCCUCCUUAUUUGCCACUUAAGCUGUUUAAUCACUUUUAACAAAUUUUACAUUAUUUUCAGUUUAGUCCUUUUUAAUUAAUUAACCACCCAAACGUUAGAAUUUUCUAACGAAACUUUAAUAUCAAUUCAAUGGCACUCUAUAAAUGUUUCUAAAAAUAUUUAUGGCUUGAUUGAUGAGUUUGAGGUUUCGAUACCUCAUUUUUUAUUCUAAUUAUUUUAAUAUUUAUUCUUAGUACACUAUUCACUAUUUCAAAAAUUUUCCUAACUUCGCAUUUAACUUAUACUCACUAAAUUAAUAAUAUUUUCUACUCAUUUGUCAGAUUUAGUGAUCUAGAAUUACCAUUCCGACACCACUGAAAAUUCAGGCCAUUACAUUAUGUUUAUUGACUCAUUUUUUCUGUUGACUGAAUUUCAGGUAACUCAUCGACUUAGGCGGGUCGGCAUGGCGAGAGCUCGGUCAUCCUUAUUUAGUAAUUUUCUGUUUAAAUUAAACUUAUGCUAUAGUUGUUUUAUCUUGAAUUACAGAUUUCAAAUUUAUAUUUCUACACUAGUUCAACUAUUUAAACAUUUUCUGACAAUUAAACUUUAAUUAGUUAAAAGUGAGAAUUUCUUAAAUGAUUUGUUGUAGCUUUCCAAGCUUGGUCCUAACAUCUAGGUCGGGUUUGGGGUGUUACAACCCAAAACCCCCAAACUUUCCCCUCAAAACUUUUACUCCCCCACCCUUUCUCUUUCUCGCUCACCCUCCCAAACCCUUCUACUUUUCCCCCAAAACUUUUACUUCCCACUUUUACCCCCAAAUCAAAAAUCAAAAUCCUCCCAAAAAAAUCCUUAAACCUAAAUAGUAAUAAUUUUAUUUAUGGCUACUAUUUAUAUUAUAAAUUAAAUUUCACAUUUUCUAUUAUUUAUAUUAUUAAAUUGUUUAAUCAUUUUGAAUCUUUAUCAAUUUCUGUUAAAACUGUAUCAUUGAUGAUGUCAUACAUUAUUUGUGUUAAAAAUUUCUAUUGGUAUCAAUUUCACAUUUUAUCUUUAAAAUAAAUUUUAUUAAAAAAAUUACUUUUUUACAUUUAAUAUAUUUUUUAAUUUCAAAAUAUAUGGUGACAAGAAUUAGAAGAUAAUUGAAGCAACUAAGCAAGUAAAAAAGCUAACAUGUAUAUAAAAGAUUAAAUAAAUUAUGAAGGGAUGAAAGUUAAUAACACAUUUGAUUACGGUGGACAAAUUUGAUAAUGAUGGGUGACAGUGGCUACAAGGAUCCAAAGUAAUUUUUUCAAUUAACUGGAAACAAAUAUAUUCGAUUCGAUUCGAUAAAAUUUGAAAUCAUUUUAGGAUGAUAAAAUAAGACUCGUCAACUCGAUUAACUCGAAGUUUUUUCAUUUGAUUCGAUUAGACGCUCACCCCUACAAAGUAUGACCGAUUGGUCUGAUUCUGAAAAAAAUUGGUUUUGAUCAAUGAAAGAACUUUUACGAUGGCGACAGGUCUAACAAACAGGUGAUAUUUUGAAAAGAAAAUUAAUCUCCAUAGUCUCAACCUUAGGAGGGUGAAUUUUGAGCAUUGCAUUUGUUGUCAUUGUUAGACAUUAUAAAGGAAGAAAAAAGAAAGAAAAAAGUUAAAAUGAGGGAAAUUAUUGAAAAAAAGAGAGAAGAGAAUAAUUAAUUUUUUUAAAAUUUUACAUGUCAAUCUAUUAUUGAUUAGAUUUUUUUAAUGAGUGUAACAUUUUGGUGUUAAAUGGAUAAUAAAAAAAUAUUUUAAGUAUCAUUUAUGAUAAAAAAUAUUUAGGUAUCAAUUUGAAAAAAAUAUGUAGCUUAGAUACUAAUUGAUGGGUUAAUUUUUUUAGCUUAAUAAUUUGAUUAAACCGAAAUACCAACUGAAAAAAAGUUUACUCGCCGCUUAUGAAAAAAAAUAAGUAUGAAUUUGUAAGUUAAAUCUCCCUAAAAGAAAAAAUAUAUCACAUUCAAUACGGGGUGAAUGAAGCAAUGAAUGCAAUGGGGUAUUACAACCAGCCACAUGUCAUUCAAUUCAUGUUAUAUCUACCUUGUUGGCCCCACAGGCGGUCUUUUCCAUUAUUUUCGAAGUGAACGACAUGAGUCGGACCUAUAUCGGCCCCAACAAACAACCUCAACCACUUGUUUUGUUAGGUUGUUGACUAAUUUGAAUAUGUCGGCUCAAAGCUUUUUGAAAAUUAAAUUAUUUUUUAUAUUAAUAUCAUAUAGGUAUAAAAAUUUAACGUUUUGUAAAAAAAAUAAAUUUAGUGUUAAAUUUAAAUAAUUAUAAAAAAUUAUACAAAAUACAAAGACAACUUAGAGUCAAUAAAAAAAAUAUGGAAAAUCAAUUCAUACAUUAAAUGGCAUAAAAAUAUUAUGAACACUAUACAAAUAUAUGAAUGUUUUUAUAUCUAUUUAAAAUAAGUUAUUAACGCUUAAACUUCAACCAAUUAAAUAUUAAUUUAACUAUAAACUAUAAAAAAUUAAAAUUUCAUUUGCCCUAAACAAUUAUUCUAAUUUCGCCCCUGUAUAAAAUAGUUCUAAUAUUAAAAAAAAAGUUAUACGAAUAUGGAGUGUUAAAAAAAAAGGCUUUCAACUUUUAAUAUUCCAAACAAAUAAAAGAAAUAAUAAUAACAGUUUACAAGUGCAAUAAAAGUAAUACAUAUUUGAUGAAUUAAAAAUAGAAUAAAUAUAACUAACUAUAACAGAAAUAUAUUUAGAUUUAAACCAAAUUUUUUUGAAGAUGAAAUUUGAACUCACAAAUAAUAUUUAUAAAUGAUGAGCCUAAUGAUGAUAUGUUUUAGAACAUGUAUAUUUUAAUUUCAUUUGAUAUUUAAAUUAAUGAAUGAAAUGAGUAUAUUAGCAUAAAUAUAUUGAAUUUCUAGAUUUAUUAAAAAUCCAACUAAAUAGAGUAGAUCCAUAAAUUUAAAAAAUGAUUAUGGAUUUUGAAAUAUAAAUCUAAAAUUUAAAAUCUGAAACCCUCCUAAAUGUUUUCCAAAGUAAGGCGGGGAUAAAUGGUAUAGGGAAGACGGUGGGUAGAUAGAUGUACGGUUUAUUUAUAACUUCGUUUUUAUUAGUCGGCUUACAGUUUCAUAAAAAGCAUCCGUGCAAGGCAUGUUCAAAUGCUGCACUAGCAUACCACUACUAUAAAAAAAACACAUACAAGAGCACCACAAAUUUAUCCCAAAAUACAUUAAAUAAAUGACUCCUAAGGGUGCCAGAUUUAACUAGUGUGUCUGGGAUUGUAUUAGCCUCUCUGAGGCCAUGUGAAAAAAUUUAAUGUUAUUGUUAUAUUUCCAUCUCGAUACGUUGCAAGACAUGAAGCAAUCUGUAAACAACUCUCUUUUGGAAGCAGUUUGCAUACGACUCUUCGCUAAGAACCAUUUGUUGUGAUCUUUCGCUUAGGAUUGCUCACAAAUGACCCCCAUGCACCCUAUCUCUCUCCCUCCUUAACUCAUCAUCUUGAACUCUCAUCCUAUCAUAGGUGAAUCGAGACUCUUCUCCUCCACCCUUUCCUCGUUGGUUACUUGUAGCAAAAAAAAUUAAUUUCACCGAAAAUGUUGGAGAGAUCCCAUGGUCUAAGUGUGUUGUUAGAGCAAAGCUCGAUGGCAAAUUUGGAGUCAAAUUUUAGAAUAAACCCUUUAAAAUCCAUUACACCGUAAAGGAAAAUUUUUACAAUUACAUUAACAAUAAAUAUUCAAAAUUUACUCAUCUAUCUAUACUUAUAUUAAGCCUUAUUUGAGUUGGAGUCAAGAGUCAACUAGGUACUAACUCAGUUGAGAAUUUACUAAAUAAUUUUAAUAUAAAGUAAAAAAAAUAUUAAUACGAGGGUGUUUUUAUCUUUUCAUAUUUUUAAAUAAAAAAAUACUAUAAUAAGAUUUAAACUUAAGUUUAAAAUUUCAAUCAAAACAUCACUUAAAUUUAAAAUAACAUUUUUAUAUAAAAUGUGUUUAGAUUCUAAGAUAAUGAAAUUUAUGAUGAGGUAUUCAAAAUGUGUUUGAAUAUGCUAAUGAGAUAUUCAAAUUGGUAUGCACAUUCCUAAUCAGGGAGCAUUAAUGAUAAUUUAGUAAAAUAAAUUAUCUCAUUAGCAUAUAGUUUAUUAUAAAAUUAUUGUGUAAAAUAAACAAUUCACAAACUUAAGAAUUUAUAACACAAAAAUUAUACAUCAAUGUUGUUAGAAUUGUAUUAUAUCCAUCGGUUGAAUUUAAAUUUAAAAAUUUAAUCAGCGAUAAUAAUUAAAAUCGUUUCAAACUAGUAAAAUAUUGAAAAUUAAGAACUAAUAAAAUAGAUUCUAAUUAUUUUUAUUUAAAAAAUGUUACCUUCUUAUUCAGGUUACAUUAAGACAAACCCAUCUUAAUUGUAAGUAUCAUAUUGUGAAUGGUAAACUUCUUACACAACAUCCACCAUUUGUCCAAAUAUGUUAAAUUAGGUGCAACAUAGAAAUUUUAUUGUAAGGAGUGAAUCUCAUUGUUUUUAUUUUCAUCAAACAUACGUCUAACUUUAUUAUUACGGGAUUAGAACUUAAAUUUGAUAAAUUGUGGUGAUUUCUUUUCGUUAAAUUUACCUAAAUCAACCUAACACUCGAAAAGUGAGAAUUCUCCUAAAAAUUCUUUAUGUUAGCAAAAAAUAUAGUGGAAGUAACUUGAAACGAAAGAGCAAUGAGAGAAUUGAAAAGACACAAGAAAAUAAUGCAUACAAGGUGUUUGAGUAAAUGCUCUCAAUAAAUUCUUUAACUCAAGAAGGAAUGAAGUACAACCAGUAUCUAGCCCCCCUAAAAUAGAAAAUUUUCCAUUUAUAUACCUUUAUAAUUUAUAAAAUUUAAAAUUUUACUUUCCCAUAAAAUGAUAAAAAAUUGAUUUAUUUCUUUAAAAAUUAUAAAGAUGACUAUUAAAAUAGUAAAAUUGUAUUUUUAUUAUUGUAAAAAUAUACAAUUUAAUUCUGUCUCCCAAAUUUUUUUUUUGGUUUCAUCCCUAAGUACAAUGAUCAUUGUAGCAGGAUACACAGGCAUUGUAGCAGGAUACAUAGGCAUUCUAGCACAGAAUGCAAAUAUGUUGCAAAUUAACUUCGAGUCAUGGCAUAAAGUGCCCGAGAGUAACAAGAACCAAGCUCUCGAUAACAUUAAGGUAACAAAAUGUGUAUAUCAUUUAUAAUACUUGAGUUUAAGUUUCGUUUACAUUUACUUUCUGAAGUUGUGUUUUUUGUAGGGGAGAUUUGCUCUAGAGGUCUCCGAUGCUUAUGUAAAGAAGGCAUUGGGAAAAAGAUGGAGAGACCAUAAGAGCACUUUAAAGAAAGACUAUUUUAAGACAAAAACAACACUCGACGAGAGAUUACAAAAUGUCACGCCGGGAAUGCUGAGGUACCAGUGGGAAGAAGUCGUUAGAUUUUGGACUUCGAAGAAAGGAGAGGUAUGUGUUACUACAAAAAUCUUGUAAUUAUUUUGGUUUAUAGUAUUUACUAAUUAACGUACUAAUAAUUUCAUAACGUAGGAUCGUGAACGAGUUGGAACAAGUAGUAGGCAGAAACAAAAAUUCACGCACACAGCUGGGUCGAGAAGUUUUGCGUGUGUAGCUCAGGCCGAGGUAUUUUGAAUUUUUUAAUACUGGCAGAUAUUUAUUACUUUCUAUCAAAUAAUAUUUUUACUAUUGUAUUGUAGGAAGUGUUGUCGGGUCAAAAAGUUGGACGCCUUCAACUUUUUGACAUUACACAUAGGAAGAAAGAUGGAAACCCUAUGACUCCUGAAGCUGCAGAAAUUAUGGUACGUUUGCUUAAUACAAUUUGACUUGUUUUAAUUAUUUAUACUGUUUAUUUUCUAAUGGUUUUUAUUACAUUUCUUAUAAUGCAAAUAUUGUUAAGUUAUGUUGCAUUUGUUUUGUUAAUAUAUGUUGCGUUCUUAACUAUGUGAUUUAUUUUUUAGGAAAAACUGAAGGAUAAAAAGGCGAAGUACGAAGCGAUUGCUUCCAGUGAUAGUUCUGUUCAUAUUUACGACAUUGAUAAUCGGAUUAUCAUUGAAGUUUUGGGUCCUGAAAGGUAUGAUCGGGUUCGAUUUCAAGGAUCUUUUGUUAACCCAUCCCAAUAUUUUGGAUCCAGCUCGCAACAAUACAUGCAUUCGGGGAGUCAGGCUCAAGCUGAAGUUAGAGGUUAAGAGACCAGAUAGCUUAGAUGCAAGCGGCAACGAGUGAGCAAAUUACACAACUUAAAGCGGAGGCAACAUCGAGAGAAGCCAAGGUUCAAAAAAGAUAUGAAGAACUCCAGCUACAACUUAAAGCAGAUGCGGCAGCGAGAGAAGCAGAGGCAGCAGCGAGAGAAGCUGAGGUUCAACGAAAGUAUGAGCAACUGCAGUAGCAGCUUAAAGAAGAUGCGGCAACGAGAGAAGCAGCGGCUGCAGCGAGGGAAGUAGAGGCUGCAGCGAGGGAAUCAGAACAGCAUAAAAAGUUCGAUGAACUCCAGCAGCAGCUUCAGAAUAUGAUGAAGAUGUUUCAGCAGUCGCAACCGCCGUCAUCUUAGACUAUCGUUUAAAUAUACUUCAAUUUUGACUUUGGUAUUAUUAUUUUAACUUUUACAAUUUCUGUCAGAAUAAUACGAAUUUUAUUUUAUUUAUUGACAUUUAUUUUAAAUAUUAUAUAGAUUUGGUUAGAUUUGGUUGGUUGGAUUUGGUUUCUUCUGAUUUGUUUUUAUAGGAGGGGGGCUGAAAAUUUUUUUUUCAAAUCUGCCAAAAUUAGCGGCGUUUUUUUGGAUAAGCGCCGCUAAAGACCAUCGUCUAUAGUGGCGUUUUUUGGCUAAGCGCCGCUAAAGACCAUGGUCUAUAGUGGCGUUUUUCGGCUAAGCACCGCUAAAGACCAUGGUCUAUAGUGGCGUUUUUUGUCUAAGCGCCGCUAAAGACCAUGGUGUAUAGUGGCAUUUUAUGGCUAAGCGCCGCUAAAGACCAUGGUGUAUAGUGGCGUUUUUUGGCUAAGCGCCGCUAAAGACCAUGGUCUAUAGUGGCGUUUUUUGUCUAAGCCCCGCUGAAAACCAUGGUCUAUAGUGGCGUUUUUUGGCUAAGCGUCGCUAAAGACCAUGGUCUAUAGUGGCGUUUUGUGGCUAAGCGCCGCUAAAGACCAUGAUCUAUAGUGGCAUUUUUCGGCUAAGCGCCGCUAAAGACCAUGGUCUAUAGUGGCGUUUUUUAGGCUAAGCGCUGCUAAAGACCAUGGUCUAUAGCGGCGUUGCAAAGAAAACGCCGCGAAAGGUCUUGAUCUUUAGCGGCGUUUAUUAUAAAAAGCGCCGCUAAAGUUACCGACACUGUCAUUAGCGGCGAUCUUUGCGGCGCUUCGUAAAGCGCCGCUAAAAGUAUUUGCGGCGCUAAAAAACGCCGCUAUAGACCUAAAAAAGCGCCGCUAAAACCCUGUUUUGGUGUAGUGUGAGAUGAUUACAAAUGAAGGGGGAGAUCUCUAUUUAUAGUUGAGCUCCCCUAGAUCCAAUAGUAUAGAUUGAAUUACAUCAACGAUUGAGAUUAGUACUUAUCUACAAGAUGAGUCUUAAGGGUUUUAAACUCUAUACAUCUUUAUCCCUUAGGAUUUACAUUAAUUACUCUGGUAACUCUAGUUUUACUGGAGAGUUUCACUGAACCACCAAAGGUUUAAGUAGAUGAGCUUCUCCAUAUGUUCCACGAGUUGGACAAGUUCAAGCGGAUCAAAUGAGCCCAAUUUAAUUAGUUAAUCUCAAUAAAACGUUCUAUGCGCAAUGAUCAUGAACUUUGAUCUACAUCUCAAAAUGAUCAGAUGAAUAAUCUCUCUUAAUUAUAUUUUUAUAAAACUUGAUAUUUUCAUUUAAAAAGAAACACAAUCACAUAUAAUAAUGUCUCCAAAAGAGUCGUCCACUUCAAAGAUUUAAAGUAAUGUAAGAAUGAACCCAACAUUUUUCAAUUAAAAAUAUGUCGAUAGAUAUAGCAAGUUGUAUAACCUUUCAAUUACAAAACAGAUUUCAAUGGGGAUUGCAUCCGGUACAUGCAACUAAAGAACAGAACCGGUGCAUAAAUUGAUUUAAUUAAACUUUGGGUUGAGUAAUCAUGAUUUUCAUUAUUAUUAGACUACGUGAAUGUUGAUAUAAAAUGCUUGAGAGAAGGGUAUAGAAGAAACACAAAAUAAUGAGUGAUAUUAAUUUGUAGAUAAAGAUAAUAUUACAUAGUCGCAAAAAGCGACCUAGUACACAACGCACAACUCUAAAUUAGGAUAACUCCUCUGCUAUCCCUAUGGAUGGAUUUUAACAUCCAUAUUUAUUCUGUAGCUAUCGUUAUUUUGGCUUCCACUAGCUGGUGAACUUUCCAUGCCAAAACUUCACUUAACCCUGCAAAUGAAACAACAAAAAACACAACAUUAAAUGUUGAGCAAUUAAUAAGCAUAAGCAAUGAAACAACUCAUACGAACCUGCUGCAGUCAGUGCUAGGGCUGAUCUUGUAAGGGAUGUUGACACCGCACUUGCCUGGGAGUCCGCUUGCAAUACCAUAGUUGAUGCCAGGAAUGCCGGCGGCCGCACUUUUGAUGCAUUUGCAAGCUGCUUGCCGGUCUGGUGUUGUUUGGGCGGCGGAGUUGAGAGAUUUGAUGCCGCUGCAGCAACCUUGGGGAACGGCACCAGCACCAUUCCCUCUCAAGUAAUUAAUGCAGGGUGCGAGGGAGCCUGUGACUUGACCACAGGUUACGGUCCCUUGAGCCAGGGGUGCACCCACCACCAUGCACAACACCACCACACAUGCAAGCUUAAGGGACAUUGAGCUAGCCAUAUCGAUUAAUUACAAGAAAAACAAACUUGUAAGGAAAAUGCUUGCUUGGAGUAGUAGUAGUAUUGCUGAUUGUUGCGUGGUUAGGGCCCGAGGGUAGGAGGGUUUUUAUAGCCAAAAGUUUUGUGAAGGGAUAUGGAACGAACUGAGAAACACGUACGAAUAGAAUAUGGUUAGGCGUUGGUAGUUGUCCCAAUUCAAUGCCAAGGUUUCUUUUUUUCUUUUUCAUGUUUCAGCUUAUGGUUGAGUGUGUUUAAUGCUUUGAAAAAGGUUUGUAUCUACCACUUUCAUCUUCAUCACUAAUGCUGAAUUACUCCGUUGAUUAAUGCAUCAUAUUAGCCUUGUCCUAGUGUUACCGGUUUUCUGAUAUUAGUAGCUUUACCAAUAAAAGAUGCUAUCAAAUAUAGUUUUCAGGAUGAUAUUAAAAAUUAAGGUUUUUUAGUUACAAAUAAAAUUGUCACAUUAUCAAAUUUUAAAGAUAUGAAAUUAUUAUUAUAAACUCAUCUAUAGAGAAAUUAUUUUAUGAGCCCUUUCCACCACAUUAUUCACAGUCCAUUUUCAAUUAUUUAAUAAUAUUUCAACAAUAUUUUCCAUGUCAUUGACACAUAAUUUUAAUAAUUUUUUUACCCUGAACCUUGAGUCUAGAAUCCCAAACCCUAAAUAAAAAACUUAAAACCCCAAACUAUAACCCCAAACACUUGCAUCAUAAACUCGAACCGCGAACCUCAAACUCAUAAUCUGUAACCUUGAACCCAAACUUGUAAUCUCGAACCCUUGAACCCUGAACCUAAACCUUGAACCCUGAACUCAAAGCCCAAAACCAAAACUGAACCCUGAACCUUAAAUCUCAAACCCAAACCUUAAACCUCGAGGUUUGGGUUCAAGGUUCAAGGUUCAGGGUUUGAGUUCAAGGUUCGAGGUUUAGGAUAAAAUAAUUACCAAAAUUUGUAACAGAAUAAAAGAGUUCGUUUAUAAUUUAAAAAGCAAUUAUUUUAAGUAAUUUAAUUAAAGUGAAAUUAAGUUGGAGAAAAUAUUAGAUAUAGAUGAGUGUAUAAUAAUACUUUAUUGUCUUUAAAAUUUAAUGACGUGGUACUAUUUUAUUGGUGCCUCAAACUAUACUUUUUAGAAUAAUCCUAAUACAAUUUAUUCCCAUAUUAAAUACGUAUGCUUUCUAUAUUUUUUCGAAAAAAUAAAUUUUAUUCAUAAACUUUCUAUAUAUAAAUAUAUGUUUUAUUUAAAAUUUAUAAAUACAGAAAAAUUAAAAUAUAAAUAUAUGUCAAAGUAGCUAUUAAGUGUAGAAUUAAACAAUUAUAACAUAUAAAUAGAUUAAAAAUUAGGACAAAAAAUCAAUCUAUUACAUAAAAUAUAAAUUAUGAAUGAAAACAAUCUAAAUUAUAGUCUGGCUAAUCAAACUAAAACUUACAUAUAACCAUAUGACUUUAAGGGUCUUGAAUAUGGUUACUUAAAAGCUUAUAGUUCAGCUUUUACCCACUACGUCAAGGCUUCAUUUACGUUUUUUUUAACCAUAUAUUUUUCAUAUAAUUAUAUAUAUAUAUUUUGCAUAAAAAAUCCCCAAGACGUUAAUUACUUCUAUAUAAUGUAGCGAUUAAGUCCUCAAACAAAAAUUGCUCAACAUCAAUGCAUGUAUAGAUCAAUUUUAUAUAUCAAAGACCAAUACUAUCUUUUUCUUAAAAAAAAAAAAAACCAAUAUGUUGUGAUUGCUUAGCUAUUGUUCCUAAGUCUUCCUGAAAAAGGUUUCACAGUCUUCCUGAAAAAGGUUUCACAGCGAGAGGAGAAAAAAAAAAGUUGAACUUGUCUUGGUUUGCCCCAUAAUGAUUGAAGCAUAGACAAGAUUAUAAAUGUUAAUUUAGUAUACGACAUAAUAAUAUAAUAUAAUAUAUUUAAAUGUAUAUCUCCUCACCUCCUAGACGCUGUCAGUUAUUUUAUUUUUUGGGAUUUUUUUAACAAAAGGUUGAGCUUUUUAUUAGGUUUUAUUUGAUUUUUCAUUUAUUAAAUAUAAUUUUUUUAUUUUUAUAUUUUUUAGUUAUUAUUAAUUUUUGUUGAAAAUUUGUACGGUCUUGUUCUAACAACAAUUAGAACAAGCUUUUUGGAACAAUCAAAAGUUUUGGGUGUAGGCAUGUUUGACUUUUAAUGGCUUAUGUUUUAAUAUUAGUUAACAAAAAGUGAUAAGAGAAUUUCAUGAUAAAUUAGAAUAUGGUUAUCAUCCAUUUGAUUAGUCUUGAUGAGGAAGGAGAGGAGUUUGAACUUUGGUGGACACCCAUCCUUAUCCUUGUCUUUUAGAGUGUUUGAAGCUAUUGGAGAACUUGGUUUUAAAGAUUUUAUUUGAUAAAUAUUCAAAAUAAUUAAUUUGAUAAUUUCAACUUUUAAAGGAGAGUUUAAAACUUAUCAAAACAUUAUUUGAUAAACACUUGUAGAGGCGUAUAAAUAGGCAACAGUGUGGUGUAACUUUGUUUGUUGUUUUGGAGUGUCUUAAACUUUUAUUUUUUUGCUAUUCCAUUGGGUAACUUUAUGACACUCUCUUUUUAGGUAUUAUUUGGAGAUGUUUAGUAAUUGUAUUGUGAGGAAUUUGAGUGAGUGAUUGCAUUGAAGAAAUGCGACCUAAAUGUAUAUGUUAAACUCUUAUCUAGGACAUAAAUUCCAUGAACAAGGUACCCAUGUUAAUAACAUGUCACCACUUCGCAUCUUUAUGGUAUUGACCCUAUGUAGUUAGACCCUAUAUGACGUAAACAACACUUAUAGUGUGCACGAUAUCGUAGGCUUGAACGUUGAUUGAAUGCAACCUAUAUUUUGGUGCCUUUGUCGGAAAUGAUGUAUGCAUCGGGUUGCGGUACAAAUGCCUUCUCAGGUUAGUUAAGAAGAAAUCCCAUUCAUCAUUGGAUUCUUCAGGAGUUAUUACAAAAGCUAUUGGCAGGAUUUUUAGGUUACCAUCUUAUGCAACAACUACUAACAACCGAUGGUCGCAUAUUCUAUACAGGAAUGUGCCGUUAAUUUGGAAAAGUGGCUUACAGUACCAAAAUGUAGUUCUGCAUUGCUUAAAAGUCCAAAAGCAACGGUGGAAAACUCCUUUUCCAGGGACCAAGCAAUCGUCAUAAUACGCAGGCUCCAUUUUUAACUUGGUUACAGAACCUAGUAUGUACCACUCUAGUAUCUAACACCAUUGCCACAAUUUAUAGUAGGAUUUCUCCCACCCUCUAUUCAUUUUCUCCAAUGCCUUCUAUUUUUGCAACUAUGUCUUGUGCUAGGACAUGGUGUAAUCGGAUUCUCUACAGAUGUGUGCGAUCAAAAUUGGGACCAGAAUCCUAGGACUUGCUUUUGCCAUGGGUAAUAGAAUUUUAGAUAUCAUGUCUAAAUCUAAUUUUGGAUGAUCAUUCGAUAUGCUUGAAAAACAAGAAAUCGAGUCACUAUGUGUAAUAGAAUGUAAAAAAAGGCUAGGAUUCGAGUCGAUGUUGUUAGCCAUAUUACAUACCAGCUACAACACAUGUAUGUGGCACGAUAAAUUUCCUACGUUUAAAAUGCCAACUUCUUCGUCAUAAAUGCCAUGAUUUUCCAUAGACAUCUUGUUGCACGCAUUGUGCGCAUCGCCUUAUAUUUCUCGGAUUGAGAGCAUGUAAUAGUGAAGUUGACACCAAAUUGUAUGCUAUACUACUUGAUUGUAGCUACAAAAGCAUAUUUGGAGUCAAACUCCAUCCCAACCUCUAAGUGGUCGAAAUUUGUUGAUGAAGUCGCAUACCUUAGUCUUCUACGGGGGAGGUCUGGGAAUUCUAAAACCACUUUCACUAGUAAGACUGAGAGUACGCAUAUGGGGUGGGGGUUUGUAUUUCGUGAAACUUAGGUCAUCCCCUCGAGCGAUGUCUAAAGCUUGACCAUUAGAUCCAUCGUCUUCUAGUUCAGUAGGAAUGGGAUCUAGUUCUAAAAUUACUACAAUUUCGCACCAUCCAGUCCAACCACCUCUCCUGGGUCAUUAUCUGAUUUAGACCCCUCUUUGACCACUUUGUUCUCUUGUCCCUCUUUGUUAUCAACCCUGGUUGUAAGUCCAGGGUUGGAUGUACCCUCUCCGGUCGAAGUUGUCAAGAGUAGAUCAUUCAUUCUUGUAAAUCCGAUGUCAAUCCCAAAACCAAUUCUGUUUGGCCUACCCAGUAACUUGAUGGUGUACCAUAUGAGUGUUAUCGAGGUUGAACAUAGGUGUGUCAAAGUUGAAACCAAAGGCACUGAUAGAAUGUUGUGCGGCUGUGUUGUAGGCCUGGUGACCGAAUACGUCUAACUAUCCCCCGAAGUUGAAAUCGAGGGAUGAAAUCGAUGAAUGCCUCACCAUUGAUGAUGUUAAUAAUGUGUCUUUGUAUAAGCUUUGUAGCAAUGAUCUGAAUCCACAACAAAACCGUGUGGCCAGACUUUUUGCUUCUUGAUUUGGCUAGAAAUUUGGCGGACACGGUAUAAUCGAGCUUGGGCCACCUUUUUCCUCUUCAGCAAAGACUGUAUAUUCUCACAAGAGUAAUGAGUUUCGAUCACUGUCUUCAAACCGUUGUCCCCUGUGAUCUGAAAAAUGGAAUAUCUAACGGGGUUAAAUGAUGUUAGAUAUCUACAUUUCAGGCUCAAAAUUCUUCUUCAGAUCCCUACUUUAUGCCUAAACCUUGUUCAAAGCUCUUUUAACGUUAUGCUCUAGUUGAAUGUCAGAUCUUUAGAUUGGGUUGAUACAAAAAUGGGCUCAAUUUCAGCCUCACAAUUUUGACCGUUGUAAUGGACAAUAGCUCUGGCUCGUCUCCUCAUCUUGAACCAAAUAUUCUAUUCCACAUGUUUAAAAUCGAGAAAAUUGUAAAAAUAUAGUUCUCAUCACCCAAAUCCCUAAAUUUACACUUACUUUAAUGAAAUACCUUUGCUUCGACAAUAUUGUCAGUAUAAAAUUUUUGUUUUUUACUACAACAUCGAUAACUCCUAAUGCCAACAAUCUGCUUCAAACAUCUGUAUGGAAAAUCCAAGAAUUAUAUUGAGUUUUUUUUAUAGAGCCUUUUCCUCGACGCACAUGAAACGAUUCUAGCAACAACACAUGUCAAGGCAUUAGUUGUUUUUGAGGUAUACACUAAAAAUUAAAAUUUGUGGGGGAGAAAACGUUCCCCGCAACGAUGUUUUUCAGCACCUAGACAUAGCAUUGAAAUUUAUCCUAGGAAUCCCGGGUUGUAGGGGCUUAGAGGUAGAAGCAAUCAAGUUGGCUUGGGUAUUGAAAGACCAUAAAGAAAAUGCCUCUUGCAGGAAGCAUUUCCACCUGACUUGGCAAUCAAAAUGCCUCCUGCAGGACGCGUUUUCCAGCCACAUCUCUGACAUGUUAGUUGAAAACGCAUCUUGCAAGAGGCGUUUGUACUGCCAUGUUAGGUAAAAACACUUCCUGCAGGGAACAUUUUCUUUAUGGCCAUUUCAACACCCAGGCCAACUUAAUUGCUUCUGCCUCUGAGCCCUUACAACACGGGAUUCUCGGGAUAAAAAAAUUUCCCUUUUUACCCCACCCCAUCCCUUAUAUAAAUGUAUGUUCUCAUCCCCUACUCACCCAUAUCUCAGUCUCCUUUAAAUUAUUUUUUUCUUUUUCUUCCGUGUUGAAAUUUUCAAGUUUAAAGAUUUAUUUCUCUCACACUUUGAGGGGGAUGUAAUCAUAGUUUUAAGUUGUGUUUGAGUUCACAAUAAUGUCGUGGCGCUUGAUAACUUACAAAUUUCACUUGUCGUGUGAGUAUGGAGCCAUCACUUGAGAAAUCGAGAUCGCUUUGCAACUCGAGGUCCAAGUUGACGGUGUAAAUAAGGCUUCAAGUUUACAAAGGUUAUGCUAUUAAAGGAUGGAGCAAAACCGGGACUGUAGUUGACGAUGGUGAUGCAAGCACAAGAACUAGUUUUUCCUCAUUGGAAGAGCAUACUUUAUAAAAUCCAUAUACAAGUACGAGGGAGAAAAUCACAGGGGUCUUCCAGUAUAAUCAAGUAAUUCAUUUUAUCCUUUUCCAGCAAAGGCAAUGACCCUGUUACUAAAACCUAUUACAUCCCCUUUCUAUCAUAGGUAAUAGUAACGGUGUCACCGUCUUUGGUGGAGAUGGAUAAAAAAAUUUACUUAAUUAUACUGAGAUACCAUUGCAUUUUUCUUCCUCGUACUUGUGUAUGAGUUUUAUAAAGCAUCAUUUUCUAAUGAAAAAAGUUUUUUGUCGUGCCCGCAUAACCAUUGUAAAUUACAGCUCCAAUCAUACUCCGUCCUUUGAUAGCGUAACAUUUUGUAAACUUGAAGCUCUAGUUACACUUCAAUUUCAGACCGUAUAAUCACCCUUAAUUGGGACCAUGAGUUGCAAUGCGAUCUGGCUUCUCGGGUGAUGGCUCCAUACUCACAUGACAAAUGAAAUUUGUAGGUCACCUAACUCCACGACACCACCAUAAAUUCAAACAUUCCUUAAAACUAUAACAGUGUCUAUCUCAAACAAGAAUGAAAAUAAAUGUUCAAACUUCUAAUUUCAAAUUGCAAGAAAAAAAAGAAAAAAAUAAAUUUUAGCAAAGUAAAAAUGGGUCCUACCGGCGCAUUUUCAUUGCCACAUCAAUGAAAAUACACCUCGUACGACACGUUAUUCUUUCUUCGUAAACAAUGUAAAUCAAUAAAUUUAAAAAAAAAUUAUACAUUCUCAAAUAACUCUUUUUUUCAGCAUUUUUGUUAAAUUUAUCCCAUAAUACUGCUACUUCUUGUUUCCUGGGUUAUUUUUAUUACUGCUGGUUGUACCACCCUCCUACUGUGCGCCGGUUAUAGCAACUCACUCAAGAUUCUAAAUACUAAUAUAAACACCAUUUCUUUUAUUCUUAGUUUUUUUAGUGAUUAACGUGGUUUUAAUUAUCGUUAGAUCACGUGGGUGUUUAUAUGAAAUGCUUGAAAUCGUCACGCAGGACAAAAAAAAAAAAAAGAAAAAGAAAAGGAAAUGAAGAGUAUAUAUAUAGAGGAAACAACUAGUGAGAGUGAUAUUAAUAUUUAGAGUAGGUAAAGAUAGUAUUAUAUAGUCGCAUAUGCGACCUUGUACAUUACCACUAACUCUAAAACUAGGAUAACUCCAACAAUGAAUAGUACCGCUAUGGAUUUUUAACAUUCAUUUUUAUUCUGUCGACAUCACUAUUUCCCUUCCAUUAGCUGAUCCCAACUUCCAUGACCACACUUCACUUAAUGCUGCAAAUGCAACCACACCAAACAAAACAUUCAUAAAUUAAUAAAUCAAUUGCCAUAAGCGAUAAACUUUGGGUCAUUUUCUUUUUCCGUAAUUUCAAAGAAACCUAGUUUAAAUUAGAUACGAACCUUUUGCAGUCAGUGGAAGGGCUGAUCUUGUAAGGGAUGUUGAUACCGCACUUGCCUGGGAGUCCGGCUGCAGUGCUAUAGUUGAUGCCAGAAAUGCCGGUGGCCGCACUUUUGAUGCAGCUGCAAGCUGCUUGCCGGUCUGGUGUUGUUUUGGCGGCAGAGUUGAGAGAUCUGAUGCCGUUGCAGCAAGCUGGGGGAGCAGAACCAGCACCAUUCCCUUUCAAGUAAGCAAUGCAGGGUGCGAGGGCGCUUGUGAUUUGACCACAACUUAUGGCCCCUUGAGCCAGGGGUGCACCCACCACCAUGCAAAACACCACCACACAUGUAAGCUUAAGGGACAUUGAGCUAGCCAUAUCAAUUAGUCACAAGAAACAAACUUGUAAGGAAAAUGCUCGCUUGGAGUAGUAGUACUAUUGCUGAUUGUUGCGUGGAUAAGGAUUGAAGGUAGGAGGGUUAUUAUAGCCAAAAGUCGAGUGAAGGGAUUUGGAAAGAACCGAGAAACACGUACGAAUAGAAUAUGGUUAGGCGCUGGUAGCUGGCCCAAUUUAAUGCCAAGGUUUCUUUCUUUCUUUUUCAUGUUUCAGCUUAUGGUUGAGUGUGUUUAAUGCUUUGGAAAAGGUUUGUAUCGACCACUUUCAUCUUCAUCACUAAUGCUGAAUUACUCCCUUGAUUAAUGCAUAAUAUUAGCAUUGUCUUAGUGUUUCCGGGUUUUUUCUUUUUUUAUAAUAGUAGUUUUUCCGGUUUUCUGAUAUUAGUAGCUUUACCAAUCAAAGAUGCUAUCAAAUAUAGUUUCCCUUAAUUCAAUCUUUCAUUACUCUCACUUUAUUUUUGCCAAAUAUGAAAUACAUAUUGUAACACCUAAAUUAUCCGACUCAAUCGCUGAGUCCAAAUAACAGAAUGUCAAAUUUAUUGCCGAGACAACUCUCAUCAAAUAUUUCGUACUUCUAUUUAAACCAUACAAUUAUAAAUACACGUACAUUCCAAUUCCAUUAAAUUAAACAAACAAUGGCCUAAUUGUGAAGUUUGAGCAUGAAAUAAGACUGAAUUGUAAAAUUUCAAAUUUAAGGGUCUGGUAUCAAUACUUAAUUGUUUGGUACCUAUACCUUAGUCCUCAAACAAAAAUUGCUCAACAUCAAUGCAUGUAUAGAUCAAUUUUAUAUAUCAAAGACCAAUAUCAUCUUUUUUUUUAAUAAACAAAACAAGAUGUUGUGAUUCUAGCAGGAUAUAGGCGUAGCUAUUGUUCCUAAGUCUUCCUGCAAAAGGUUUCACAGUGAGAGGAGAAAAAAAAAAGUCGAAAUUGUCUUGGUUUGCCUCAUAAUGAUUGAAGCAUAGACAAGUUGUCUAAUUUCUACCUAAUUGCCACGUGAAUUCACAUGAUUUUACGUCCCUUUUUCUUGGCUCAAGGGAAUGAAUUUCACAUGAUUCGGUAACAUAUUUCUUAGAUAUGGUCAACAAAUAUACAUGUGUAAGUGCAAUAUUUUCUAGUUUUGUUGUUAACCGGAAAAAAAAGAAGACGAAAAAUAUGAGACUAACUGUUUUCUUUUAAAAAAAAGAUUAUAAAUGUUAAUUUAAUACACGACAUAAUAAUAUAAUAUAAUAUAUUUAAAUGUAUAACUCCUCAUCUCCUAGACACUGUUAGUUAUUUUAUUUUUUGGAUUGUUUUAACAAAAGGUUGAGCUUUUUAUUAGGUUUUAUUUGAUUUUUCAUUUAUUAAAUAUAUUUUUAUAUUUUUUAGUAAUUAUUAAUUUUUUUUUGGAAAUUUGGACUGUCUUGUUCGAACAACAAUUAGAACAAGCUUUUUGGUGCAAUCAAAAUUUUUGGGUGUUGGCAUGUUUGACUUUUAAUGGCUUAUGUUUUAAUGUUAGUUAACAACAAAUGAUAAGAGAAUUUCAUGGUAAAUUAGAAUAUGAUUAUCAUCCAUUUGAUUAGCCUUGAAGAGGAAGGAGAGGAGUUUGAAAUUUGGUGGACACUCAUCCUUAUCAUUACCUUUUAGAGUGUUUGAAGCUGUUGGAGAACUUGGUUAUGAAGACUUUUAUGUGAUAAAUAUUCAAGAUAAUUAAUUUGAUAAUUUCAACUUUUAAAAGAGAGUUUAAAGCUUAUCAAAACACAUUCUGACAAUCACUUGUAGAGGCCUAUAAAUAGGCAAUAGUGUGGUAUCACUUUGUUUGCUGUUUUGGAGUGUCUUAAACUUUUGUAUCUUUCUAUUCCAUUGGGUAACUUUGUGACACUCUCUUUAGGUAUUAUUUGGAGAGGUGUGGAAGAAUACCUCUUAUUUUGACCAAAAUUUAUUUUUCUCCCGGUUAUAUUUUGUUUCUAGUUUCCGACUUAAACUCUAAUUAACCUAAAGUUGUUGUAGUCAUAUAUGCUACAAAUUUCAACCUAUAAAUAGUCCUUAGUUACUCUAGGUUUUACACAAUAAAAACUUAUUUAGAUUGAGAGAAUUUUAUUCUUUGUUUCGAAGGGUUUUUCUUGUGGGACUUCUGCUUUUCUUUUAAUUCUCUCCAUUUUUUGUACUCUCCUUUAUUAUGGUGAAAUCUGUUUUUGCCUAUGGUUUUUUAUCCUCUCUUGAGGAGUUUUUCCACGUAAAAUUUGCGUGUUUGAUCUUUUCGAUUCUUAUUUUAUUCACUUUGUUCAUUGUUUAAUCAAGUUUAUCCCCUACAAACUGGUAUCAGAGAUAGUUUAAUUUUUGCAGUCAACCCGUUUAGAGAUGGCAGAGUCAAGGUUCGAUAUUGAGAAGUUCGAAAAAAUUGUAAAUUUCAGUUUGUGGUAAGUUUGAAUUACGACAAUAUUGGUUGAGAACAGUUUGAAAAAGGUCGUUAUAGGGAAGAAGCUUACAGAUAUGAAUCAGUCAGAAUGGGAAGAGCUUUAUGAAAAGACUAUAUCCACUAUUCAAUUAUGUCUCACGAAUAAUGUGUUAUAGGAGGUUUUGAAGGAGAAAGUAUCGUUUAUGUUAUGGGAGAAACUAGAAACCUUAUAUAUGAAAAAAUCUCUAGCCAACAGGUUAGUAUUAAAACAACAUCUCUACAUGGCCAAAUGUGAGCCCAUCAGAAUUCAUAUUAGCGAGUUUGUUACCCUUCUUAAAGACUUGUAGAAUCUCGAAGCAGAGAUUAGUGAUGAAGGUCAAGCUAUGUUAUUGUUAUGCUAUUUGCCCUCUUAUUAUAAAAAUUUUAAGGAAACUCUUAUUUAUGGGAGAUAUCAUCUCUCGUUCGAGGAUGUGAAGGGGAAUCUUCUGAGUAAGGAUAAACUUGACAAUGAGUUAGGCCCAAACAAAAAAUCAGACGGGCAAACCACAGUUUUAGUUGCAAGAGGCAAACGACAAACCAAAAAGAUAGAUCAAAAUAGGUCUAAAGCAAGGUCCAAAUCUAGAAAUCAUGACAAAUAUUCUGGCUAUUGUAAAAAAGGUGGGCCAUGUUAAGGCAUAAUGUUGGAAAUUUCAAAAUAAAAUCAAAAGGGAUGCUGAAAAUGACGAGAAAGAUAAGCAAAAAGUUAAAGUUUUUGAUGCUAGUGUAGCCGAGGACAAAGGUGAUGAUUUCUUGUUGGUGUCAACGAGUGAAAGCUCUCAUCUUACUUCUAAAUGGAACUUAAAUUCAAUGAGCUCCUAUCACAUGUGUCCUAACAGGGAUUGGUUCUCCACGUAUAAUUAAGUUGAAGGUGGAGUUGUGGUGAUGGGAAUAACUCUCCCAUGUAAAAUAUCUGGAAUCAGAACAAUACAAAUUAAGAUGCAUGACAGGAUUAUUUAAACAUUUUCAGAUGUCAGGUAUGUUCCUAAUUUAAAGAAAAAUUUUAUCUCAUUGGGAACUUUGGAUUCUAACGGUUGCAGGAUAGUCAUUGAGUCAAAUGACUUAAAAGUUUCUCGUGGAGCUCUUGUUGUGAUGAGGGGACAAAAAAAAGGCAGCCUAUAUGUUCUGCAAGGGUCAACAGUUACUAGUGUGGCUGCGAUUAUCAAAGAAAACCCAAAAUUGCCACCACAUCACGACGACACGACGUGACUCUUUCUCCAUCAAUUCUGACUCAACCAAAAUUUGGCACAUGUGGCUGGGUUAUAUGAGUGAGGAAUAUAUAAUAGUCUUGUGCAAUAGAAGUUUUCUCAAUGACAUUGGAAUUGGUCAAUUAGGUUUUUACAAGCAUUGCAUUUUCGAGAAACAAACCAAGUCAGUUUCGAUUUAGCAGUGCACAAAACAAAAGGGACUCCAUAUUACAUUCAUUCUGAUUUAUGGGGUCCAUCUUUUAACAUCUCAAAAGGAGUUUAUAAAUAUUUCCUAACUUUUAUUGAUGAUUACUCUAGAAAAGUUUGGGUUUAUUUCUUGAAACAGAAAAACGAAAGUCUUUGGAAUUUUCAAAUAGUGGAAGACACUAUUAGAAAAACAAAUCAGAAAAUCCAUGAAGAAGUUGAGAACAGAUAAUAGUCUUGAGUUUUGUUCGUCAGAGUUUAGUGAUUUUGCAAACGGGAAGGAAUUGAAAGAUAUCAAAUCGUUGUCAGAAUUCCGCAAUAGAAUGAAGUUGCAAAAAGAAUGAAUAGAACCUUGCUGGAAAAAGCUUGAUGCAUGCUUUCUAAUGUAGGCCUAGGGAAGGAAUUUUGGGCUGAAGCUGUAAACCUGACAAGUUAUUUGGUAAAUCGAUCUCUUUAUCGAACAUUGAACAGUAAAAUUCCAAAAGAGAUAUGGUCAGAUAAUCCUCCAAAUUAUUCUAAUAUUAGAAUUUUUGGUUGUCCUACUUAUGCUAAAGUUAGCUAGGGAAAGCUCAAACCAAGGGUCAUUAAAAGCAUCUUUUUGGGAUACCCUGCCAGCACAAAAGUUUUUAAGUUGUGGUGUUUAGAAUUUGAAAAAAUAAUUGUUAGCAGAGAUGUUACGUUUGAUGAAUAUGCUAUGUUUCGAUCAAAAAAUGAGACUUUUACUUUUAAAGGCACAACGAAUCAAAGUGUCUCGAGCAAGGUGGAGUCAAAAGCUAAAAUAAGAGGGCGAUGUCAUGAUGUGCAAAUGCCCAACAUCGCAAUGACAUGACGAAUAGAGGUCUCGUCCCGAUAAAGCCUCUCACAAUGUCGCAUUGACACGAAAAAAUUCUGGUUCUUGCAAGUUUGAAGCUGUUUUGGAUCUGUUUGGGGUUUCACCCGACCCUCAAGUACCCUCACCAUAUCAGUUAACUAAUUAUAAGUUGGCACGUGAAAGGAAACCUAGUGGUUUAUGCUCUAAGUGUUGCCGAGAGCGUUGUUUCAACCAAACCUUCGUGUUAUUAUGAGGUAGUUCUUUCCUUCAUAGUGACCUUGAGGAGGACAUCUACAUGCAAUAGUCGGAAGACUUCAAAUUUGAAGGUAAAGAAGAUUAUGUCUGUCUUUUGCAAAACUCUUUGUAUGGUUUGAAGCAGUCUCCUCGAUAGUGGUAUAAAAAGUUUAACUCAUUCAUGUUGAGUAUUGGUUUUUCCUGAAGCAAGUAUGAUAGUUGUGUUUAUCUACAAUGUCUUGAUGAUGAUUCUUUUAUAUAUUUGUUGCUUUAUGUUGAUGAUAUGUUAAUUGCGGCUGAUAUUGGUUGUCUUAAAACCAAACACGUGGUUCAUGAAUCAUGGAGAAUCACGACAGACAUGCUGAUAGGGGCUGGCAUUACCAAAAUUCUAGUUCAUGAUUUCUUUUAUUACCACAUUCAAUGUUUCCCAACAUAACCCUGGUGUUUUCAGUGGAACAAGCUCUGUUCCAGUUGCAACUUGUAAUGCUUUUUUUUUUACCAAAGCAACUUGUAAUGUUAUGAUACUAUAGAACAGUGCGCAUUUUCAUCUUUUACGAAAUUACUGGAUUUGAAAAUAUAAAUAGUAAAAUGAAUAUAUACUAAUGUAAAAAAAGCGAUAAUGAUUUAUUUAGCUUUUUAAUUUUAUAAAAAUAAUAAUUUUAAUUUUUUAUUUAAUUUUUUUGUUUUUUAGCAUUUAAAUUUGUAUUGUUUGUCAAAUUAUCUUAAAAUGGAUGAAAAAGUUAACAUUUAACAACUUUAUUGAUGUGACAUACAUGUGCAUAUCAUGUCAACAAUUAAUCGUUUUUAAAAAAAAUUAAAAAAAUUUAUUAAUAUUAUAAAAAUAUAUAAUUAUUCAUACAUGUGGACCACGUGGAUAUCUUAUCUUUUCCAUCAAUUUUGGAAUGAUUUGAAAAAUAUUGUAAGUUCAACGGUUAAAAGAGACAAAAAAUUAAAUUGAGAGCAAUGAAUUUUUUUAAACUUCGAAGGCUAAAUAAAUCAUUAUGCCAACAAAAUAAUUUUAAAAUAUGAAGUGUAAAUUAUUGGAGGAGUUGGGAUUAACAUCAUGCCUCAUUUAGUUACUAGUGUAAUAAUAUGCGAAAAAAAUUAUUUAUUACAUAUGUAUUAGAUAUAAAAUAAAUUAAUAGUUAAUACAAAUUCAAACUUAAAAUUAGAAAUAUGAGUAAUAACUCUUGUAAAAAAUAAAACAUUUUCAAAAUAAGUGAAAAAUUUGCCUUCUCUUUAUUAAAAAUAAGUCAAGGGAAUGAUUAAAUAUUAUAAUUGAAUUAGUUUAUUGCUAACUCAUAUAAUAAAGCAUGUGUCAAAAAUGAUACCAAUUUAGUACUAAAAACUUUCAAAGUUCAACAAUGACAUCCUCCUAAAAAUUUAACAGUUGCGGAGAAUAGUACAUGGGGUUGGCUAAAUUAAGCUCCCGAAAUUUCAAAAAUAUAAAAAUUAUAAGAACUAAAUUACACUAACAGAUCAAAUAUUGAAACCCUAAAGUCUGAAACUUCCUUUCUUCAUCUUCUUGUUUCAGUUUGCAUGGAAAUAAGAAAUGAAAGUGUGGUUUGUGUUACACUAACUUGAUUUUUUUACCCUUAUUACAAAUUAGUCCUUAUACUCUAAUUAAUUAUUAAUUCAACAAAAUUAUUUAUCCAGAAUUCAAUUCACCUAAAAUACAACUCCGUAAAUAUUUAAUAACAAUAUUUACGAGUUUGAUUUAUAGAAACAAAGUUCUAAAAUUACACUUUCCAACAUCACUGACUUUCGAGUUGUUACGCGUCUCUUGUUAAAAUCAUACAACUUUCUAUUUUUUUUCAAGACAAGAAAUUUUGUUCAUGCACUUUCUAUAUAUAAAUAUAUGUUUUUUUAAUUUUAUAACUACAGUAAAAUUAAAGUAUAAAUAUAUGUCAAAGUAGCUAUUAAGUGUAGAAUUAAAUCAUUACAAUAUAUAAAUAGACUAAAAAUUAGGACAAAAAAUCAAUCUAUUACAUAAAAUAUAAAUUAUGAACAGAAACAAUCUAGGCUAUAGUCUGACUAAUCAAACUAAAACUUACACAUAACAACAACUAAUAAUAGGAAUUAAAGACCCACACAUUCAACUGUGUACCGUGGAUAUAGAAUAUGGUUACUCAAAGCCUAUAGCUUCCACUUUUACCCACUAUGUCAACGCUUCAUUUACACUUUUUUUUUAACCAUGUAUUUUUCAUAUAAUUUUAUAUUUUUUUUUGCAUAAAAAAAGGCCCAAUAUAUCGACGUUAAUUAAUUCUAUAUAAUGUAGCGAUUAAGUCCUCAAACAAAAAUUGCUCAACAUCAAUGCUUGUAUAGAUCGGUUUUAUAUAUCAAAGACCAAUAUUAUCUUUUUCUAAUAAAAAAAAAAACAAUAUGUUGUGAUUGCUUAGCUAUUGUUCCUAAGUCUUCCUGCAAAAGGUUUCACAGCGAGAGGAGAAAAAAAAAGUUGAACUUGUCUUGGUUUGCCCCAUAAUGAUCGAAGCAUAGACAAGAUUAUAAAUGUUAAUUUAGUAUACGACAUAAUAAUAUAAUAUAAUAUAUUUAAAUGUAUAUCUCCUCAUCCCCUAGACGCUGUCAGUUAUUUUAUUUUUUGGGAUUUUUUUAACAAAAGGUUGAGCUUUUUAUUAGGUUUUAUUUGAUUUUUCAUUUAUUAAAUAUAAUUUUUUUAUUUUUAUAUUUUUUAGUUAUUAUUAAUUUUUGUUGAAAAUUUGUACGGUCUUGUUCUAACAACAAUUAGAACAAGCUUUUUGGAACAAUCAAAAGUUUUGGGUGUAGGCAUGUUUGACUUUUAAUGGCUUAUGUUUUAAUAUUAGUUAACAAAAAGUGAUAAGAGAAUUUCAUGAUAAAUUAGAAUAUGGUUAUCAUCCAUUUGAUUAGUCUUGAUGAGGAAGGAGAGGAGUUUGAACUUUGGUGGACACCCAUCCUUAUCCUUGUCUUUUAGAGUGUUUGAAGCUAUUGGAGAACUUGGUUUUAAAGAUUUUAUUUGAUAAAUAUUCAAAAUAAUUAAUUUGAUAAUUUCAACUUUUAAAGGAGAGUUUAAAACUUAUCAAAACAUUAUUUGAUAAACACUUGUAGAGGCAUAUAAAUAGGCAACAGUAUGGUGUAACUUAGUUUGUUGUUUUGGAGUGUCUUAAACUUUUGUUUUUUUGCUAUUCCAUUGGGUAACUUUAUGACACACUAUUUUUACGUAUUAUUUGGAGAGGUUUAGUAAUUGUAUUGUGAGGAAUUUGAGUGAGUGAUUUGUAACAAUUGGGGUUGAUAUUAGAGCUAUAAUUAUUUCUUUGUGUAACGGUAGAUUGGGCUUUGACCUUUUAUGCCGGGUGAGGUGAUACGUCGGUCGCCUCAAAACGACUUCUCUUCUCUUCUCUUCACUCGAAUGCCUUUCAAAUUUGUUUGUGUCUCUGCAAAAUCACACCACUCUAGACAAGCUUCAAGGUCGGUAACACAACAGGUAGAGAUAUUAAUCAUCUAAUAGUCAUACCCCGAAUAUAAAGACUUUUCCUUAGAAUUUAGAUCAGACUCAACGCACUUAAUAACUUUGACCUCCCCAUCGAUAUCUAUGGUUAAAUCUCCUCUACUUACAUCUACGAUGACUCUUGAAGUUGCUAAGAAUGGCCUCCCAAGCAAGAUCGGUAUCUUAACAUCCUCGUCAAAGUACAACACUAUAAAGUCUACAAGAAGAAUAAAUUGUCGGACCCUCACUAGCACAUCCCCAAGGACUCCUUUUGGAUGUACUGGUGAUUAAAUGACCAACUGUAAUCUCAGCAAGGUCUCUUUAAGGUUCCCCAAACCUAGCCUUCAAUAAAUCAAAUGAGGUGUUAGGUUAAUGCUAGCCCCAAGAUCGCAUUGGGCUUUCAUGAAAUUCACCCCUCCUAUUUCAAUAGGGCUAGUAAAGCUUCUGUGGUCUUUUAAUUUCAGGGCACUUUUCCGGAUAUGACAGCAAUAAACUCUACAUUUUGGGGAAUUUUCCCCCCAUAACUGAUCUUUUUCUUUCGAGACAUAACCUCCGUAAAAAACUUAGCAUAUUUUGGCAUUUUUUCUAAUAACUCAAGCAAUGAAAGUUUAACAUUCAGUGCUUUGAAUAUGUUGAAGAAUUUAAGAAAUUCUCCGUUCUCUUUUUUCUUCCUUUAGUCUAAAUGAGUAGGGAAGGGUACGAGUUUUCGAUUAACUGGUUGGGAAAGGCCUUCCAUAGGCUCAACUGACUUUAGAUCACAUUUUUUCUCAUUGCUCUCAUGCACCCUGUGUCAAACACUAAAAGUGAAGAUGCUCUCAUCCUUCUCUACUUCCACUUCUCCACUCAUCGACCUAAUAAGGUCCUUAACCACCUUUUUGGACCUAAGGGUAAUGGCCUUAGUGUGCUCAUUCGCCUCCCUCUUCGAGUUCAGUUAAAUAAUGUUUGGUACAUUAAAGGAAGCAUUGUUUUGUGACAUUUGGAUAAUUUGGUCUAAUUGCCCUCAAAUUAGGUGCACUUCCGCUUGCAUCGAAUACAAGUCUUCCUCUAGUUUACCCACUUAUGAUUGGGGUGGUCUCGCCACCCCGGAUUGUAUGAUUUAGAGUACAUGUUGUACCCCCUAUUUCCUAAAUGGUUGGCUUCUUUAUGAUUGUUCUCAUUGUGGCCUCCACAAUUAGUGCCUUCACCCAAAUUUCCUAUAUUUGAAUUGGUUAAAAGAAGUUGGUUCGAGUUUUGUGAUUUUGUCAAACUCAUUUCAAGGUGGUUUGACCUCUCGAGGAUGUGCUGACAUUUAUCCUCAUUAUAGACCACAUUCACGAUCAAUUGUUUAUUUUAGUAUUUGAGCCGCUCAGCCGACCAUAUAUAUGAACUCAUUGCCAUAUUCUCUAUGAGUUGGAAAUCUUCAAUAUAAUUCUUUGACAUGAAUGCAGAAAUCUUCAAUAUAAGUCUUUGACAUGAACACUUCUGCAGAUGCUACAUCAAGACUCGAUCACAAAUUCCCAUCAAGCCCAUCAUAAAAAAAACUUGUAAUUGCAACCAAUCUUGCAAGCCAUGGAAAGGGCAUUUUGACCGCCUAUAAACGUACUAUCAUUUAUAGUAAAAAUAUAACACCAAAAAUAUAAGAAUUAAGAAUGGCAGUGUCCGCACGUGCAAGGGUCUAAUUGUACAACAAAAUACUUAGAAGUAUUUUGAGGAUCAUACCCAAGGAAGGAUGGAAUAUUUUAUGGAAGCAUUUUUACAAUAACAAGUAUAAGUAAUAGUAAUUAAUUCCUAAUAUUGCAAUGAACCAUAAAAUAAGUGAUGAGAUAAAAAUAACUAAACAAAGAAAAUAAAUAAAUAAAGAAAAAUAAACAAAUGAAAUAAAUCAAUAAACCAAUUAAGAAGAGUAACUUGCUUUAGGGUCUGUAACUAACUUUAGAUUAGGAUUUUAGAGUGGAUUAACUAUCGAUUAACUAAUUAUUACCUCCUGGCCUCUAAUUAACUAAUCGAUUGGUUGAUACUCGCUUAUCUCCCGACCUUACUUUUUGAACCAGGAUAAAUUAUGAUAUACUUGGUUUGACUUAUUUUUCGACCUCGUCUAGCCUAUGAUAACUUCCUAGGGCUUUCAAUCGUAAUGGUUUAAGCACACAUAAUUCAUACCAACUAAUCCUUCUCGAGAAAUGCUAAAUCUUCCAUUAUUCACAUCCUUAUCCAGUCGUUAAUCUCCCAUAAGGGAUCUAACCACUCAUUUUAAUCAUGACCUAAAUCUUGAUUGAAUAAAUCACGAGAAGAAAAUGAUCGAUUCAGGGGAGAAAAGAGAUUUGAAUGAUCAUGGAUUGAAUAUCGAAUAAGGAAUAGAGUAGUAAAUCACUUGAUUGGAUUAAAGAAUUAAAUCGAAUGGACAUAAAAUAUAAACUGAAACACUUUAAUUAAAUAAAUAAACUCUUAAAAUCAAAAUUAAUUUCAAGAGGAAAAACAAAAUAGUAUUGAAAAGUCAAAAAGAAAAUAAUCUAAAUCCACUCUUCAACUAUUAGGGUUUUUUGAAGGAGUCUAAGAUGACUUAGUUACAUCAAACCCAUAGUGUCUUAUUUAUAGAGGUGUUGGCAAACCAAACUAGAUCUUCGACACAUCCUAGGUCUUCGUAUAAGUUUUAUUGCGCGGAAGAAAAUAACCCCAAAUUACAUGGGUAGGACGCCAAUGCGUGUCGCGCUACAUCCUUUGCAUGGCAUGACACAACAUGCAAUUCCAAACUAAUGUCGUUCUUUUGGUCCUUUCAUGUCUCAAGAAGCUUGUACAUCAGUCGUCCCUUGCUUCCAUGUCAAUUGGGCCUUUAUAUUUUCAUCCUACACACUCAAUUAGACAUAUUAGCACAACCUAAGGCAUGUGUCAGCCUAGUAGGUCACAACUGUAACAGCCCGCCCGAAGAAGUCUCUAUUUAUGGUUAAUUUUUUUAUUGUACUAAGUAUAAUUUUGAGUAAGUGAAAUGUUAGUUUUGAACAAGUAUGGGAUUUUGUGUAUGCGUCGAUUAGCAAAAUCUAUUUUUUGGUGAACUCUAUGGUUUGGUGGAUUCAUCUGUUAAGUACAUGCCACCCGAGAUGUUUUGGCGAAGUUGUCAAAUCUAUAGUUUCAUAGAUUUUUUUUAUAAGACUAUUUAGUUAGUCUAGUGAUAAUUGGUUAGAAUGAAACUAAGAAACGGUAGUUGAUAAGUGUACUUAAUCAUGAGAAUUAAGAGUGUUAGUAGAAUAAUUUGAUCCUUCCACUAAACCUUGUCUCUGUGUUUAAGUAUAUAAGGGUAUUGAUGUCUUCACCGAUAAACUUUUGUAUGUUCUCUGCAUUCAUCUUCUUCUUGAUUUUAUCUGCAUUCUCUCUCUCAAAGCUUAAGUCUAGAAACAUUAUUGAGGUUGGGUUCGCUAUAUUCAGCCAACUCUGAUGUUUGUUUUAGCUUUCUGGUAAAUAUUGAUUAAUCCUAGGUUUUUUUCAUAAUUAUUUAUGUAUUUUUAGCGUUGCAUACAUAAGUGUUAAAAUUAUAUGUAAGGAAGGAAACUUUCUGAUUCUGGGUUAUGUGUUAGUGUUUCUUGCAUGCAUAUUUAGAUUCAAUGAAGUUAUGAUAUGAUAAGUGUAAUUAUCCACUUUUUAGCUCAAGACGCUAUUGAAGGGCCAAGUGACAAGGGCAAAGUUCCUAUGUAACACCUCUAACCCGUAUCUUUCUCCAGAAUAGGGUUAUAGAGCAUUACCGGAGUUUACAAAUUAAUUUUCAGACAUUUCAUUUCAUCAAGCAUUCAUAUUUAUAACCAAUCAAAAUCAAAAUAUUUAUGAGCUAACAUUAACCAAUUUAACUUAUACAAGUCAUUAUAACCAGAAUGAAAUCAUCCAAAAUUACCGAUAGAACUAAUGGAUAAUGUGAUAUAUCUCUAACAAGCUUCCGAUAAUCAUUUCAAAACAUCUAAUAAUUAUACAUAUUACCAACAAUAAAACACAUUCACAUAUAAUAUUCAUUACCAAAUAGCUUUCACUUCAAUGAAAAUUAUACAAAAUAUAGUUCAUACGAACUUACCAAGCUAAAUUGCAAAAAUACUACAAUUCAGGGACAUUUUGGAAAUUUUUUUCUCGAAUUUCCACCCAAUCUCGAUCUAAAUUAAUAUUUCAUUCAAUUUACUAAUUUAAAUAGUAAAACAAUUCAUUUCACGCAAUUUGGUCACUUUUUGACAUUUUUACAAAUUUACCCUUAAAGUUUCACAUUUGUUCAAUUAGUCCCUGAACCUAAAACAUGUAAAUUGGUAAUUUUUAAUGAAAACUCAUGCUAGUUGAAUAAUCUUAUAUUUCUCAAUUUUCCUCCUCCUCCUCUCCAUUCCCCAUCCUUAAUGUAAAUAACACACUUAAACUACAUUAAUUAUAAUUCCACUAUUCACUCACAUGUAUAUUCAAAGCUAUUUAUCCGAGUCAGAGUCACUAAAUUAUUUUUCCCUGGAGCUACAGAACUUCAAAUUAUGAUCUGUAAAUUUUCCCCAAAACUAGAUUCACAUAUCUUCUUACCAUAAAAAAUUUAGAAUUUUUGGUUUAGUCAAAUAGUACAGUUUAUUCUUUAACGUUUCCCCUGUUUCUCUGCUUGACAGCUCUGACCUCUCUUCACUAAAAAUUAAUUAUCUCAUUGUACAGAAUUUGGAUAAUGUUUCUGUUUCUUUUUCUUUUGAAAAUAGACUCAUUAAGGAUUCUAAGAAUAUAAAUUAUAACUCAUAAUUAUUUUUGUACAAUUUUUAACAAUUUUCCAAAGUCAGAACAGGGGAACCCGAAAUCAUUCUAAUAUUGUCUCACAAAAUUUAAUAUAUCUCAUUAUUUACAAUUUCAUUGCUUACACUGUUUCUUUUAUGAGAAACUAGACUCAAUAAGAUUUAAUUUCAUAUUUUAUUCACCCUCUAAUUCAAUUCUCAAAAUUUUUGGUGAUUUUUCAAAAUUACACUACUGCUGCUGUCCAAAACUGCUUUAGUGCAAAAUGUUGAUUUCCAUUUUGCCUCAAAUUUCACAGUUUAUGCAAUUCGGUCCUUUCUCAAUUAACCCCUCAAUUAAUCUAAUUUUCUCAAUUAAUACUUUACCUAGACAUUAUAAGUUAUUUCACAACUAUUGAAAUUCAAAAUUUCCACAUAUAACCCUAACUUCAAACUCUUUUACUAUUAGGUCCCAAACAUUCACUUUCUAAUGAAUUCUUUCAAUAAAACCAGCAUAUGAACAAUUUAAAGCUCUAAUUCCAUGCUAAAUUAUCAUAUACUUCCAGCAUGUAUUCAUAGCAACUUUCAAAUUCUUUCAUAGAAUCAAAAACUAAUGAGUUCAACAAGUGGGCCUAGUUGUAAAAGUCACAAAAAUACAAAAAUUUCAAGAAAUAAUCAAGAAUUGAACUUACUUGCAGUAAAAUAUGAAGAACCAGCUUAAGGAAACCCUUCUAUGGUGUUUUAGCUGAUGAGAAUGCAGAAAAAUGAAGAGAAAUCUAGAUAAUUCCACUUUGGUCCUAACUUUAUUAAGUCAAUUUUGCAAUAUUCCAAAUUUGCCCUUAAUUCUCCUGACUUUGUUGCUGAUUUCAUGCCCUUGCCGUCCAGCCCAAAUUGGCUUUGGGUCUAUUUUCCUUUUAAGCCCUUCUCCUUUUAUCAUUUAAGCUAUUUAAUCAUUUCCCAAAAUUUUGCAUUUGUUACAAUUUAGUCCUUUUUGUUCAAUUAAUUAUCAGAACUUUAAAAUUUCUUAACGAAACUUUAAUACUAACUUUUUGACACUCCAUAAAUAUUUAUAAAAAUAUUUAUGGGUCAAUUUAAAAUCUUCGAGGUCUCGAUACCUCAUUUUCGAUUCUAAUUAUUUUAAUAUUUAUUUCUAGUACACUAUUCACUAUUUCAAAAAUUUUCUUAACUUCACAUUUAACUUAUACUCACUAAAUCAAUAAUAUUUUCUACCCAUUUGUUGAAUUUAGUGCUGAAGAAAUGGCCUACCAAUGAAUAGAUUAGUCUACUAACGUCAACAAUAUCUUUCUUCCUCAAAUCACCGUUCCGACACCUCUGAGAAUUCAGGCCAUUACAUUUUUUCUCGUCGAAUUUGUGGUCCCAAAACCAUUAUUCCGGCUAGACCCAAAAUAGGGCUGUUACAUCCUGCUUUGUAGACUUGGUUGAAUUUCUGGUGAGUUCCUGACUGCCUCCGAAUGUACUAAUGUCUAGAUGGUGAAUACUGUAGUGAAAGAUAUAUAGAUGAGGCGGUAUCCACCAGUAUAUAGGUCCAGUUAUAAUAUAUUUACAACAGAGUAGGUGAGUACUCCGAGGAUAGUACCCAAGAGUGGCUAGUGCUAGAACAAAUUUAUCCUAAACACCAAUAGACCUAAUUAGUACUCGAAUUAAGUUAUAGUACGAAAAUAUAAAUAAAAGGAUUUUUUCAAAUUUUGAUAAUAAUAAAAUGUAAUAAUAAAGAAAUAAAGAAAUAUCAAGAGACUGAAAGCUAGAAUUAAUCAAAUUUGGUUAUGGGUGAUCAGCUUACUUUAGUAAUCUUCAUCAACUGUCGCUUUGGGUUCCUCGUUAUUCAACUAGUCGUUAUCCUAGUAGGAUCUUCUGAUCUUUUACUCAAACAAUAAGUCGGCAAGGACUACUUAUCUUUUGAACUCACAGUCCAGACCAGCUUGGGGUGAAGGAGUUCACGAAUAAGCCAUACCAAUUUGGGUUAAUUCCCACCUUAAUGACUUCUUAGGGUUAUCAAGCUUAAGGUUUAGGUUUUUUCUUUCCCAAACAGCUGAUCCGUUGGGUAACCCUAUAAAACAAUUAAUGGAUCAUACCUCUAGUCGGUAAUCCCCCAUAGAAGGAUUAGUUUCUCAUGGUUUUCAUAAAUAAAAUAGAAUCAAUAUAAAGAGUAAAUGUGAUAAACGAAUCGAAAGUAUAGAGUUUAAGAAAAAAGCCUAAUUUGUAUUAAGAAUGAACACGAAUCCACAAAUCAAAUCUCUCGAGAUAAACAAAGAAUAAACUGAAAGUAAAUCUAAACCUAAGAAAAGAGAAAAACUAAAUUGAAAUUUAAAGUGAAAUUCUAUGCUAAGUAAUUGGUCUAUAUAAUGUGUGACAAAUGAGCUUAUUUAUAGAUUUCAGGUGGUUGUCGUCCUUAAACACUAGGUUAGCUAACGUUCCUGAGCUUUAAGUUUGAUUGCGCGAACCGAAAUGCCCCCUAGCUCGUGUUAAUUCCUAUCCAGAGUUGAUGUCGCGACACAUCAAGACCUAUGUUGCGACAAAGGAGUCAGUAUGUCUUCAGGAUGUCUUCAGGGGAUGUCUUCAGGGGUAUGUCGCGACACCCGUUGGCUGUGUUCUGACAUUGAAGGCAGUCUCGUGAUUUCUCUAUUAUGCUCCCUAUGUUGCAACCUUGAUCAUUCCGUGUUGUGACAUAGUGACCAGUAUUAGUUUAGUACGUCUUCUAAUGGUCUCUUACACACUUACAAAGUUCAUUAGCUCACCUUUAGGCAUCAUUCGACCCCUAAGGUAAAUAAAAUACUCAAUUUGUACAUUUUAUUGUCUUCAAGAAAACUUACUAAAAUAUAAUUAAAACCUAAUGAAAAUGCUUACUUUCAAGCUCCUUAAGUGUGAAAAUUAGUUUAAUUUGCUACACCAAAUUACGGCAGAUCAGUUCCUUCUUACUUCCACAUGUGUAGUAUUCUUGCUUCAUAUUUUGUGUAAGAUAAGUAUUUAUACUUUACAAAACUGAAAUGUGUGUGUAUGAAAAAUGGUUAUUAAGAGUUGUUAGUCUGGGUCUGUAAAGUCUAUGUUAAAGCGUAUGAACCAUUCUUUAUACUUAAGCCACUACAUUCUGCUUCUAACAAGAAUGAUAUAGACUGAAUCAUGGGAAAGACAUUAAGGAAGUAUAUUCAUGUUGUCACUUUUGAUGGAAUAUACAUUGAACUGGCAUAUUGUGAUUCAUGAAAAUGGUUGUGUAUCCUGUGGUAGGGCAAUAGUAUGUUGCAAACCAGAAUGGAAAAACAUGAGAAAGAAUAUAAAACAAAGGAAUAUGAAUGGAAUGUAUGAUAUGAAUCUGACUAAGGAACUGAGUGCAUGGCUGACAUGAAGAAGGUUUGUCUGUAUGGUCAUAUGGUCGUAUUGUAUACAACAAAGAACAAGUAAACUGGCGUAUAGGUUGUCUGUGUAUGGUACUCACCAUCUGGCGAAUUUGUGUGAUUGUUUUUGAAUAUGUGAAAAUAUCUGCUUGAAGUAUUAGUAACUGUUGAUAUGUUUUCUUCUGGAACUCACUAAUUUCUUUUGAACUUACUUAGUUACAUUUCUUUCUCACACUUGCUGUUGAAGAAAAGGAAAUUUUGUUAAACUAUGCUAGAGGACCUCUACUGUUGUGAGAAUUCUGUUAUUUUAUACAAUGCAUGACAUAAGGAGGUAAUGUCAAGAUGUUUAUUUUUGAGAAAAAAUUUGUAUAUAAAAUUUAUGUUUGAUACACCAUGUUUCUAAUAAAGUUACAAUAAAGUUUCAUGGGUUUUAAAGUGUAUUAUAUUAUUGCGUCUUGUAUGCCAAUUGGCUGGUACUUUACUUUUUUAACUGUAUUAGCAAUAAUUAAAACUAUGGGUUUAUAAAGUUUACACCAAAAACAAUUUAAGAUAAUGAUUUCAAAAUAGUGACACAACAUACUCAGAUCCUGCUAGAGGAUCGGGUUUGGCAUGUUACAACAACACUCACAAAAUGUGUUAAAAACACUUGUUUUAUUAACUUUUAUUCCUAAGACCUAAUUACCGAAAAUGAAAUAUAAAAUCCUAAAUUGCAAAGAAAAGAAGCUUUUUCAGUGCGGAAUUUAUCCGAAUUAACUACUACAUUUGACGGCAGAUCAAAUACCCCCACACUUAAGUAUUUGCUUGUCUUGGAGUAAACUACCCAAAAAAAAAAAACCACGAAGAUAAACUAAAACAAGAAAUAAACAUGCAAAGAAAAUAAAAUAUACUUGAGCUAGCUUAAUACACGAGAUUGGGUCGAAACAUCAACACUAGGAAGAUUUGCCUAAAUAUAUAAUUCUAGCUAGAAAUUUAAACAAUUCAAAGUUAUUUACACCUAAACGGAUUAGUUCAAGAAAUUACAAAGUAAACAAGUUAAAGAAAGUUAAAUAUAUAUCACCAUCAAAAUGUAUAUAUGAAUAUAGUAUUUAUUUUUAUAGGGUCUAGUCAGUUCGAACAUUUUUUUCUAAUCGGUUUAUUUUUGUCCAUACUUUGAACUCUAAUGCAGUAAUAUUUUCUUUUUAAUUCAAACAUCCUAUACUUAUACAAAUAUAAUUACCUAUUCACAUCUACCUUUAUCACUUGGUAUAUUUAAUCUCGUUUACCUAUUUACAGUCUAAUAAACUAAACUAAUUAGUCUAAAAAUAAAUAACCUAAAUUAUUUAAUUUUAGGCUAAAUUUACAAUUUAAAAUAAUAACCUAGGUAUAUGCUCCUAACUAAUCACUUGUAUUUCUAUAAACUCAAUUACACGCACUCAAUAUAAAACUGAAAACUACUAAAAACAAAGAAAAGAAUAUAACUGAAAAAAAAAUUAAAAUUUUCCUAAGUCACCACCCACACUUUAUUAAUCACAUUUUCCCUAAUGUGCAAUUAACAAUGUAAAGGAAAGAGGUUACCUGAUCGGCGUGAUAUGUACAAUUCGAUUGGUGAGACUACUCCUCUUUUCGGUUUUGGCUCGCAAUGGUACUGCCUUAAAAAAAUUGUGGGGUUCCUAGAAAGAAAAUUAAAGCACACAAAUAUAUAUAGCAAAUACUAACUCCUAACUAAUUAAACUAAAGCAAAAAAAAAAAACCAUCCAAGAAUAAAAAUAUAGUACAAAAUCCAAAAAUAAAAAUGUUCAAAAUCAGUUGGUCUCAGAUUCUGAGUCCUCUAUCAUUUGGACCUUACCUCUAUUGUGCCACGCCGUCAUUUUUGUAGCGCAUCUUUUUGAGGUUUGAGCCUGGCUGUGCUGGCUCAGGUUAGGGAUAACCACGACCUCAUCGAUGAGUGGUCUGGUCUAGAUACACACUCAUAGUCCGGUGGUGCAAUAGAGGUCUCCUUAUCAUCAUCAUUAUUGGCGUCUUCCUCGCCUAGGGGUGGGAACCUUUCGAACAUGUCGGGGAGUGGUGCUGGUGUGGGCCACCCAUUUUGUUUUGCAAUGUGGACCAGAAUGCCUCCCAUGUCUUUCAUCCAAUGAGUUGACUCUAAUAUCGGCAUGUCGACGAGGCUCGUCCUUUUCGAGAUGUGUGCUUUACCCUUCCUCUUCAUCAGGCCUUAGGUGUCACUCAUAUGUUCUGUCAUUUGUUCCUUGUGGGUCUUGUGAUUGGAUAGAUUGGUGACAUGAGGAUGUCGGCCUUGCGACAUAAGGUUGUUAUCAGAUGUGGUAAGGACAUACUCUGCUUUCGAUUUUGUAUGCACUUGAGCAUCUCCUUUUUAAUCUGGAGGCCGAUGCAAAUUUGCUCUCUCUAUAAGAUGAAAUAAAGCAUAACUCCUUGAUAGGUGGUGAUGUUAGAGGCAUUAUGGGUAGGCAAUAGGUGGUGCAAAUAAAUUGCAUCCACAUUUUGGCUAUUAGGAACAUGAUGGUCCUAUUAAAUUUUAGGGGCACCUUGGAGUUGGCUUGGCAAGUCCACUCGCCACGCCCUUUCGUCAGGUAGUUUAUUAUACCCUCCAUAUCAAAGUCUUCGAAUGUGAAUAAAUAUAACAAAUCCAAAUGAUCAUGGGUAUCAAACAGUGCAUCGUAAAUGUCUCGCUCCAGUACUUGUCAUUCUCCAUAUCUUUCAGGGAGGCAUAUAAUUUGUAUACUACCGCAUCAAUCGUCGAUUCAGUUGGGGUUGUAGAAAUUUUUUUCUGAUAAUGGAACUAUACCAACUCUCAUAUUUCAUCACAAGCAAACAUGGUGGGAUCGAACACAUGUUCUUGUAUAAAUGACCAUCCACUCAUUUGAAGAAAAGACCAUUCGACUUUCGUAUUAUGAAAGUGAUUCGCAUCGAGAUUACUUGGUGCUUGACUGGAUCAUUUUUAUUUUUGUGGUGCCAUAAUCAAAUUAAAAUAAAAUAACAACUAACUUAAUCGAUAAAAAUGAUAAAAAUAAAGCUUAGAACAUGAUACCUUGGGUAGUUGUCGAUGAAUCUCGACUCUUGAUUGAUGUGGAAUAUAACAAAAUAAAAGAUGAAAACUAAAAUGAAAAGAGAGGAAUAAUACUUACUCAAGUGAAUUAGAGGUUGGGAAUGCGAAAGAUUGAAGCUCGAUGGCGGGGAAGACAUGUGACAGCUCUAAUGGAGUGUUUUCUCUCUUUUAGGUGUUUUAGAAGUGUACUUUUAUGCCUAAAAUGGAUGACUAUAAAUAGAAUUUUGGCAACCUUUCUACCAGAAAUGACUCGAUUUUGGCUAAAAACACAAGCGUGUCGCGCCACAACCUAUGCGUGGUGUGACACAACGCCCUAAAUUGUCCCAUUUUACAUUCGAAGUGCUUGUGUCAUGUCAACACUUGUGUGUGGCAUGACACACCCAUUUAACAUUAGUUGUCCUUCGAAAAGCUAACAUCACAUCACAAGCUAUUUGUACUGCGACAUGACAUUAUUGCCAGCCCUUUGGGGUAUGUCAAUGUCCUUCGGUUGUCCAUUUUCAUCCUCGUUUAGCUUUCUGUCGUCCCAUUAUGUCCAAAAAUCUAAAUUCUCCUAAUUAUAAGAUGUAAUUGCACUAUAACUAUCCUAAUUAUCUUAAAAUCUAAGUGCAAACUAGAAAUUGAAACUAGUUUACAAAAUUUUACAAAUUUAUUAAAUUUCAAUGGUCCAUGUUAUGUCGUGCUACCAAAUUUGUCCAACAAUUCUUUAAAGUUCACCAUCUACUUCAACCAUCAUUCACGGUCUUCUCAGCUAUUCCAAUUGACCUUUUUUCCAUCAAAGUCUUACAAUUUGUCUCAUUCUCGCCUAUUAUGAGUGCUUACACAUGCAUAACUCAGGAAAUAUUUUCGAUCAAGGCUGUUAGGGAUUAAAUAUAAUAAAUCAUAACAUUAGUCCCUAACUAAUCCCUCACUUUGGGAAUUGCAGCCACAUUUGAAUACUUUUACCCCGUCAUUGAUCUUUAUAAUUAACCGAUUUUGUUCGAUAUGAAUCGUUGAUUUAAGAGUGACUAUCACGUGUGAAUAUGAUGUACGAAUUGUACAAGUGUACACGUCGAAUCAAGUAAUAAACUGAUGAGUGAGUAUCGUUUUCACGAGGAUUGGAUGAGUGCUUUUUGUCUAAGUUAUCACAAUUGAAAAAAAUAUAAAUGUAUCAAACAAUGUUUAAUGAAAUUACAAUGGGGUUAACACAUUAGAAGUGAAAGUAAUGAAGUAUACUAGCAAAGAUUACCAUUUGAAAAAAUAAAACAAGAUUACUAAGGACUUUAACAACUACUACUAAAUCUCAACCUUAGGGUUACUCACCCUUAAUGCAGUAUAUGUCUAUAGGCUCGGGAUUAGCAACUACUACUAAAUCUCAAACCUCUAAAUCCUAUAAGGUAAGACUCUAUGUCUAGAGUUUACACAAGUAUUUCACUUAACACUAAUUUAUAUUACCGAACUUCAGUCCAGGUAACCUAAUCCUGUCAGUGUCAAGCUACCUUAAGACUUAUUGAGCAUUCAUCAACACUCUCUUAAGCAUUAAAAAAAACAACCAUUGGGUAAAGUAGUAAUAUGAACCAUAUUAAUCCAUAAACAUUAAUUGAAGUUAAAACAUCAUCCAAAGCAAACCCUAGCUGUAUUAAGUUAGCUUAUGGCUAGGCUACACAAAUUCAAGUUGCUUAAUAUCUUCAAUAUCCUAAAAUAUCAGUUUAGAAUAGAAGAAUUGAAACAAAAUAUAGAGGAAGAAAUCUAGGUUUCAAAACUCAAAUCCCCCUACUACCAAGUGUGAUUGCUUUACAUUGUUCUUUCUCAUGUGGUCUUGCGUUCUCGGUAUUACUAGGAAAAGUUCCUUGUGAUCUUGAGUUCAAAGCAUUAGGUAUCUGUCCUACUUGAUUUGCUAAAGCUUUUAAUGAUGAUCCUUGGCUCUAGAUCACAACAUCGUUCUUGGCCAUAUAAUCAUUCAAUAGAGACUCAAUAUAUGAGGAAAAUGAUGAUAUCUGUCCUUGUUGAACUUGUUGUUGAUGCAGUAUAGACUGGUUGAAACCAGAUGGAACAUUCAUGGCAUUGGGUUUAAUAGUCGUGUUGGAAUUUCCAGCUCCUUGAUUGUUCUACCCAAAAAGUGGGUGUUGUUUCCAACUAGGGUUAUAAGUGUUGGAAUAAGGACAGUUGUUCCUAUUGAAGUUUCUCAUAUAGUAGACAGAUGUUGGGUUCGAGGGACACUCUUUAAACACGUGAUCCUCACCAUAAUAAACAUAAGAUAACCCAGUUGCUUUCAGCUCUUUUACCUCACCAGGCUUCUGCAUGGUCUUUAUCAUGUUGGCUAAAGAAGAUACCUGAGUAGUAAGCGAGGUAAUAGCAUCAAGUUCAAAUGAUCUAGCGACUCUCCUACCAUUUCUAGCUUUGUUCUAGGGUAUUGAUAAUUAUUAUUGGUGAUUCUCUCCAAAAUAUCGUAGGCUUCAUUGUAGGACUUAUCCAACAAAGUUCCAUUAGUUGAAGCAUCAACCACCAUUCGUGUCUGAGUUUGAGUUUGAGUUUGAGUUUGAAGGCAUCUUCAGGGAUACCUUGCUGUCUGAAAGAAUCACAGACCUCCAAGAAAAGUCUCAAGUGCAAUAUGGGAUCUUCAGUUGGCAAAUCACCAAACUGACCAAUUGAUCUUUUGAAGCAUUAGAGGUUUUAGUUUAAAGUGGAGAGCUUGAAUUUGUGGCCUGACUAUUCCAGGAUUCAGGUUGUCUAAGAUAGCUACUACAUGAUCUCAUAUUGGCCUAUCCUGAUCAUCAAACUUCUAAGCAAUAGGAGGCUUAACAAUCGGAGCACCUGGAUUAAGUUUCUCAUUCAUAGCAAGUGGAUUGUUACUGUCUUGAUUCAUUACUCUUUGUUCUCUUCUCCUUCUUAGUAAGUUCCUUUCAAUUUCUAAAUCUAAGGGAUAGAGUCCUUCAGCAGGAGUGUCUUUACAGAUAGAACUAGUAACAGAGCUAUUGAUAUCACGAAACAAACAAAUUAGCAAAUAAAACUAUGAAAAUUGCAAAAACAAAAACUAAAGUUAGAAAUAACAAAUCCCUAGCAAUGACACCUAAAACUUGUCUUGUGUGAAUAUGAUGUACGAAUUGUGAAAGGGUACACGUUGAAUCAAGUAAUAAAGUGAUAACUGAGUAUUGUUCUUAUGAGGAUUGGAUGAGUUCUCUUCAUCUAAGUUAUCACAAUUGAACACAAAAGAUAAAUGUAUCGAAUGAUGUUUAAUGAAAUUAAAAUGGGAUUAACACAUUAGAAGUGAGAGUAAUGAAGUGUACUAGCACAGAUUACCAUUGUAACAAAUAAAAUAAGAGUACUAAGAACUUUAGCAAUGUUGGAAUAUUGGUCGUGAAGGUUGGGAUUACUAAGGGAUCUAUUCUAAACCGUGAACAAUGUUGUAGGCAAAACUAUGGUGAACUGACUGUUCGAUUGGGUACUAAUAUGGUUUACCUCUGCCGAAAUCUAGACCUAGGGAUACUCACCCCUAAGGCACUAUAUGUCUAUAGGCUCAGGCUUAGCAACUACUACUAAACCUCAACCCUUUAAAUCGUAUAAGGUAAAGCUCUAUGUCUACAGUUUACAUGAGUAUUUCACUCAGCACUUUCUUAUUUUAUCCAAUUUCUGUCCAAGUAACCUAAUCCUUUUGGUGUCAAGCUACCUUAAGACUUAUUAAGCAUUCAUCAACACUCAAUCUAGCUUUUAAACAAAAAUAACCAUUGGGUAAAGUAGUAAUAUGAACCAUAUUAAUCCAUAAACAUUAAUAGAAGUUAAAACACCAUCCAAAGCAAACCCUAGUUGUAUUAAGUUAGCUUACGGCUGGGCUACAGAAAUUCAAGUUGUUUUUGUAUCAUCAAUAUCCCAAAAUAUUAGUUUAAAACAGAAGAAUUGAAACAAAAUGCAAAAGAAGAAAUAUGGGUUUCAAAACUCAAAUCCCUCAAACUUGGCAUCUUGUUGCUCGUCUUCACCAAAGUUCACAAUCAGCUCAUCUUACCCUUCUUGCCACAAUAAGACCUCUGUCCAAGCUCAGAAAAAUAGUCAUUUUUUUUCUUUUCUUCUCUCCCCAUUUUAUUACCUUUUAUACUUGGUUUGUCUUCUAGGGUAAAAUUCGUCACCCAAUGAUGGCUUUUUCACUAAUUUUAAGGUUAAUAAUCUCUAUUGCACGUGCAUGUGGGGGACCAAAUGGUGAGUACUCUCAUUGCUGACUUGGUGUUUGUCAUUUUCUUCACCAGUAUUGCCAUGGCAACAUCUCAUAAUGCCUCAGAAAACCUCCAUCCUCUACUAUCCAUCUCCCUUAAACCUGCCAUUUAUCCACAAAAAGACCUUUCCACGAGCAAUUAAAAAUAAAGAUGCAAUAAAGUAAUCACCAUAUCAAGGUCUUAUAUUCACUGCUCGAUUGACUAGAAAUGAUCAUGCAAUUACCAAAAGUAAAGCUAAUUUUACUUAAGUACAAGUAAUUAAUUAAGUGUAAAAGUAUAAAUUAUAACUCUUUUUAGGAGUUAUUACACAUCCAGACCUGAAUUAUUGCUUGUCCUCAAGAAAUCCAAUGCAACCUAACAACUAAUGCAUGCUCUAAUGCACUUCAUUGCCUAUACUUACACUAUCAAUUUGAUUAAACAUUGCCAAUUUUCAGUCUCUAGAAUACCCUACACUCAAGAAUAUGUGCAAUCUGUCCAAUAAAAACUCAUCAAAUCCAGAAAUGCAAGAACCUUUCUCUAAAAUCAGAAUUUCCUUAAAUGUAUUUGUGUGCAUUGAUUGUAUUUCGUCAAUUCUUAAAGAACUUAGGAAUUCCUGGUCUAACUCACUUGUUAUCGCUUUCAACUUGAUUUUAUCUACUACUUCUCCCAUUUAUUGCUUCACUCUUUAUUUUUGGGAAUUCUUCUCACCACACAUGCCUUUCUACUUGGAAGUGAAGAUGGAGCAAACACCAAACUCUCAAGCUACUUAGCAGCCUUCCACCGCGGAGUGUCCUAAAAUUACUUUAAGGUACUCUUAUUUAAAACUUUUUUCUUUCCAAAAGUAAAGAUGGAGCAAACACUAAACUCUCGGGCUACUCAAUGAUACAAAAAUUGGAGUCUUUAAUACAAAACUUAGCUUAGCAAUUUAUGCUUCUGGGAGUUUAAAUUUAGCAUUUCAUUUGCUACAUUUGUGCAUUUCAGCUCAAGGACUUCUAUAAGAAACUAUGAGUUUUAGUCCAAAAAUUCCUAAGUUCAUUAAGGAUUGAAUGAAUACAAUCUAAGUGUCAUAGAUAUGAUUAAGAAUUCUAACCUUAGGAGUAUAUUCUAUUCAUUUCCCUUCUAUAUCUCGCAAAAAAAUUUAAGGGCUAUUUUCAUCAUUGGACUUCACUAAAUUAGCUAUCAUACAAUAAACUCAAUAAUGCUAUAACAAAUAAUUCUUUAUUAUUUACUAGAAUGCAUGAAAUGCUAGGGUAAUUAAGUAUGUCUAUAAGGAUAACAUAUAUAAACGAAUGAUGCAAUAUGAAACUAAAUUCUAAAAUGCAUGCUACACCCCCAAACCUAAGGGAUGCAUUGUCCUCAGUGCAUGAGGCUUAAAAUGAACAAAAUGCAGUGUGAUUUAUUUAUUUAACACAGGGUAAAUGAAACUCACUAACAACUUGUGGUGAUGGUACUUUACUGCUUGCAGGUUGAUUUUCUUGCUAUACGUUUGUAUCUUACCUUUUUUUUAAGUGUCUAAAUGGGUGGUUUCUUUUCUUCCUUUUCAAACUCAGUGAUCUCGUCAAUGAUUCAAUGGAUUUCAUGGUCUUUUUCAGGCAUGACUUCUGUUGGUGGAGGUGGGACAGCUUCAUUACUGUCCUUCUGUCGUCCAGUUGUAGGGGUGGUUUCAUUUUGUUCUUCUUUCUCGCCUUUAGUAUUCACAUGCUUUGUUUUCUCUGGUUCAUCCUUCGUUGCUUUCCCUAUUUCAGGAUUUUCUCUCAAAGUUGCAGGCUCUGCCUUGUCAGAUGACACUUUAACUGGUUCCUCCUCAGCACGUUAAGCCUCAGGAAGUGGUAGCAAAUCCUUGGGGAAAUUAGGAAAUUUUGUCAUUAGUUUAGUGAAGUUUUUCUGUAGGGAUCUUUUUAGAGCAAUAUCUCGAUCCUUCACAAAGUACCAAUAGAGUGCUUGUUGUUCUUGAUCCUUUGUCAUUUCUUUAGUAAUUUGAUAUUGUUGAAUCUCACAUAGUGAUAUUCUUUGCUCCAGUUGCUCUAAGGAUUGCAUCACUUGUUUUUCAAUUUGACAGCACUUAUUUUGACUCUUGUCAUUGAUUAGUCUUGAAGAAUCCUUGUGAGUUUUCUAUGUCUAAAUAGGAAAAUGAUUUGCAAAACUACUUAAGAGAAGUUAGUAGGAGGAAGUUUAGAGUUCAAGAAGGGAUGCAAGGGAGGUUAAGAAAGAUGAAAAGAGAAAUGUUGUGUACCUGUAGGUAAAUGAAAGAGUGUUAACAGUUGAAGAGACGUAAAUAGGGGUAAUGGGUUGACCAGUUUGUAUAAACUUAUAGGGUAUGUAGUGUGAAAAAGAAGGAAGAGGAAAAAGUAAAAAGGGUUUUGGAGGGAACCCUAGAAUUACGUGGCCCUAAAAAUGUUUGGCACUUUCUUCACGGGCUUCCUAAUCAGGAUAGGGUCCAACUGUCCAAAAUCUUUUCCUUGGAAUUUUUCUCUCUUUUCAACCCAUAUUUUCUUUCACUUUAAUGUCCACUUACCCACUCUGUUGUUGCAUAAUUUACUUCUUGAUUGCUAGGGCAAACACCUAUUGGUACUACAUCUAUCGUGCUUGCACCUUCAUUCUUUCUUUGUACUUCUUUUAAAAUCUGUAAACUAAUAAAAAAUAUAACUAGAAUUGAAAAUAACAUCAACUAAUUAAAGAUGAAAGCCGAAAAAGCAAAAUUAAAGUAAAACAAAAAAGAAAAUAAAGACAGGAUAGAGAUGUUACGCUUAAAUAUCUCUAAGUUCAAUAGAUUGUUUGCCUUGAUUUACAUGAGCACCCCAGUAGUGCUUUAAAUGUUGUCUAUUGAAUUUAAAUGUGACCCCUAUCUACAUAUCCUUGACAUCCACUGCUCCAUGAGGAUUGAAACUUUCCUAUGCUGAAACCCACGCAUAGGACAUUUCUUAAACAAAUCUUUGAACCUUUCCUAUGCUUUAUACAAUGUUUCAUCCUCUAGUUGCUUGAAGGAUGUUAUGUCAUUUCUUAGUUUGGCAUUCAUAUUGAGUGGGUUAUAUCACAACAGAAAUAUAUGACAAAGAUCAUUCCAUGAUUCUACUGUUCCAGAUGGUAAAUCUUUGAGCCAUGUUCUAGUACGAUCUCUUAAAUAAUAGGGAAACAAUUUUAGUUUUAGGGCAUCUUCAGGUACACCCGAUUCAGUUGCUCAUUCAUAGCAGGUGGAUUGUUAUUGUCUUGAUUCAUUGCUCUUUGUUCUCUUGUCCUUCUUAGUAAGGUCCUUUCAAUUUCUUGAUCUAAGGGAUAGAGUUCUUUAGCAGAAGUGUCUCUACAGAUACAACUAGUAACAGGGCUAUUGAGAUCACAAAACAAACAACUAAAACUAUAAAAAUUGCGAUAACAAAAACUAAAGUUAGCAAUCACCAAUCACCGGUAACGACGCCAAAAACUUGUCGCAUAUGAAUAUGAUGUGCAAAUUGUACAAGUGUACAUGUUGAAUCAAGUAAUAAAGUGAUGACUGAGUAUCGUUCCUACAAGGAUUAGAUGAGUGCUCUUUUUCUAAGUUAUCGCAAUUGAACAGAAAAGAUAAAUGUAUUGAAUGAUGUUUAAUGAAAUUAAAAUGGGAUUAAAACAUUAGAAGUGAGAGUAAUGAAGUAUACUAGUAGAGAUUACAAUUGCAACAAAUAAAAACAAAAGAACAAAGGAAUUUAGCAAUGUCUGAAUAUUGGUCGUGAUGGCUGGGAUUACUAAGGGAUCUGUUCUAACCUGUGAAUAGUGCCCUGACAAAACUAUGGCGAACUUACUACUCGAUUGGGUACCAAUGUGGUUUUCCUCUGUCGAAAGUAAGACCUAGGGUUAGUCAACCCUAAGGCACUAUAUGUCUAUAGCCUUAGGAUUAACAACUACUACUAAAGCUCAACUCUCUAAAUGGUAUAAGGUAAGGCUCUAUAUCUAGAUUUUGCAUGAGUAUUUCACUCAACACUCACUUAUAUUACCCAACUUCAAUCUAGGUAACCGAAUGCUGUUGGUGUCAAGCUACCUUAAGACUUAUUGAGCAAUCAUCAACACUCUCUUAAGAAAUUAAACAAAAAACAACCAUUGGGUAAAGCAGUAAUAUGAACCAUCUUAAUCCAUAAACAUUAAUCGAAGUUAAAACACCAUUUAAAGCAAACACCAGCCGUAUUAAGUUAGCUCAUGGCUAGGCUACGCAAAUUCAAGUUUUUUUCGUAUCAUCAAUAUCCCAAAAUCUCAGUUUAGAAUAGAAGAAUUGAAACAAAAUGCAGAGGAAGAAAUAUGGGUUUCAAAACUCAAAUCCCCCCAACUUGGUGUCUUAUUGCUCGUCUUCACCAAAGUUCACAAUUAGCUCAACUUGCCCCUUUUUCCACAAUGAGACCUCUAUCCAAGCUUAGAAAAAUUGUCAUUUUUUCUUUCUGUCUCUCUCCCUUUGAUUGCCUUUUAUACUUCGGUUAUCUUCUAGGAUAAAAGUUGUCACCCAGUUAUGGCUUUUUCACUAAUUUUGCAGUGAAUAUUCUCCAUUACACGUGUAUGUGGGCAACCAAAUGGUGAGUGCUCUCAUUGUUGACUAGGUGUUUGUCAUUUUCGUAAAAUCGUAAAAUUACUUAGAUCUUUUAAUUUUGAGGGCACAAAUUUGGGUACCUCUUCGAUUGGCUUGUAGUGCUUGACUUCUUCCUCUUCCUUCAUGGGUUCAUCAAUGUCUUUUGUACUUUUCUCCUAUUCAUGGAUGGAUAUUAUUGGCGACUUUAAUGGCUUCCGCAAUCGCAUCACGAUCGCCUUUACAUGCUUCUUCCAUAUCUUCGAAGAUUAUUCUCCGUAUUGCUUGGGCCCCAUGUAGUUGCUCCGGAUCUAGGUAUUAUUCAAUUGGAGUGUUGGAGCUUCGGGUCAUCAACAUCUUGAAAGGAAAAUAAAAAAUAAAAAAACUAAAAUUGUAUCUAUAUGUUUUAACUUUUCUACUUAUCUUAUUAGUUGUAAAAAUUUAUUUUGAAAAUUUAUUCCCGAAACCUCCUCGACAAUGACUCCAACAACUUGACCACCUAUAAACGCAUUACCAUUUAUAGUAAAAAUAUAAUACUAAAAACAUAAGAAUUAUGAAUGGCAGUCUCUGCAAGUGCACGAGUCAAAUUGUAAUAUAGUUUAUACAACGAAAUACUUGGAAGUAUUUCAAGGAUCGUACCCAAGGGAGGAUGUAAUAAUUUAUGAAAACGUUUUAAUAAUAACAAGUCCAAGUAGUAGUAAUUAAUUCCUAUAUUAAAAUGAACCAUAAAACAAGUAAUGAGAUAAAAAUAACUAAAUAAAGAAAAGAAAGAAAGAAGAAAAGUAAACAAACGAAAUAAAUCAAUAAACCAAUCAAGAAGGUUAACUCGCUUCAAGGUUUGUAACUAACUUCAUAUUAAGGUUUUAGAGUGGAUUAGCUACCGGUUAACCAAUUAUUACGUCCUGGCCUCUAAUUAACUAAUUGAUUGGUUGAUAAUUGCUUAUCUCCUAACAUCACUUUCAGAACUAGGAUAAAUUAUGGUUUACUCAGUUCGACUUAUCUCCCGACCUUGUCUAGCCUAUGAUAACUUCCUACGGUUGUCAAUCCUAGUGGUUUAAGCAAAUGAAAUCAUACCAACAAAUCAUUCACGGGAAAACCUAAAUCCUUCAUUAAUCACAUUUUCAUCCAAAUAAACCCAACACUUAAAGGAAAGGAAAACUAAAACUAAAACUAAAAUUAUAGAGAAAAGCUUAAAAUCUGAAAACCCAUACUAAACAAGUGUCUAAAGAGCUUAUUUAUAGAGUUAGGUUUUUUUGUCAUCCUCAACCCUAAGUUAGCUAUCAUUUUUAUGUUAAUUUACAUUUUGUGGACCAAAACACCCCUUGAUCAUAAUUGUUCCUAUACAGGCUCGGUGUCACAGCACCUUAGUGUCUAUGUCACGACACUGAAGGCAGUAUGCCUGGUUCAGGUUUGGCAUAAAAGGAAAACUUGAAAUUGUUGUACUAUGGUCCCUAUGUUGCGAUAAUGAACUUCCCCUGUUGCAACACAACAACCAACCUUGAGAUCCUAUGCCUUUGAAUGGUAUCAUGCACACUCACUAAGUACGUUAGCUCACCCUUAGGCCUCAUUCGGCCCCUAAGGACAUCAAAAGACUUAAAACAUAAUAAAAAUGUUUGUAUUCAAGCUCCUUAAUUAUGAAAACUAGUUUAAUUUGCUCCAUCGUAUUAUACCAGAUCAUGUAAUGACUAGUUGAUUGAGUGGAAACCUGAAAUCAAAAGUAGUUAUUACCGUCGAAGCGAGCUAAUCUUAGAUUUGGUUGAAUUACAUCGUAAGUUUUCCCUGUUCAAUUUAUUUUGCUUGUUUAUUUCUUUAAUUAUAUUCCUAAAUGAUUUCUUCACUUUAUGUUCGUCAUAAUAUAAUUUAUUUAAAGUACUAAUUAUAUUUAUUUUCAUUUAGGUUAAUAUUAAUUUAGUACUAGCCUCCUUUGGGUACGACCCUUGGAGUACUCACCUACUUCGUUGUAAAAAACUAUAUUACAACCUGACCCGUAUACUUGCUAUCACCGCCUCAAAUUUCGUAUUUUAGUAGUAGUAUUCACACUUUGGACGUUAGUACGUACGAAGGCGGUUAAGUUGUUGGUGCCUUUGCCGUGAUGGCAACAUCACUAGAUUAAUUUUCAUUUAUAGAUACGAUGUAUUUUAUUUUAUUUUUACUAAUGCUUUUAUUUUUCUUUGUGGUUUCAGUGUAUGACUUGAAGUAGGAGAACACCUAUCGAGCCGACCACUAAUCCAGAAAUAACAUGUUUAUUUUUAUUUUACUUUUAAAGUCUACAUGAUAACACGUUUAGAAGUGGUCAAGUUUUUGGCGUCGUUACGAGGAGGUUUUGGCAUUAAAUUAAAAUUCCAUUUUCUGCAAAUAAUAAGAUUAAUAGAAAAGUUAAAAAUUAUAGAUAUGUUUCCUUUUAUUUUCUAAUUUUUAUUUCUUUCUCUAUUUUAGGUUUUAGUGUAUGACUCAAAACGGGAGUAUCACAAUCGAUAUGUACCAUGAUCUGAAGAAACUUUUAAAGCAUAAUUGUCAACUAAGAGUAGAUGACCUAGCGCUAGUAAUUGAUUUACCCCGGGAGAACCCAUGGUUUGAUGAUCCACCCAAACAACAAGAGGAAAUUCAUGGAGAGCUACAGAUGGCUCAACGAACAUUGCACGAGUUCGCACUACCAAUAUUGGAUGCCAUUCGAGGCGGUAUUGAAAGGUCAAAAAUCAAUGCAAAUAAUUUGGAGAUGAAGACAACUAGAAUCCAGAUGAUCUAGAACACAUUACAAUUCAAAGGAAAUAUGAUGGAGGACCCAAACUAACAUUUGAAGCGAUCCGUUCAACUAUGCGACACCUUUAAAUAAAAUAGAAUGACCGAUUAUGUUGUUCGUCUUCGAUUAUUUCCGUUCUUAUUCUAUAAGGCGACCGAAUGGUUAGAUUCACUACACCCAGGCUCAAUCACGACAUUGGACAAACUAGCAGAAAAUUUUCUCCAUAAAAUUUUCCCUAUAAGCUGAACUAUUCAACUCCGACACGAUAUGGCAAAUUUCAAACAAUUCGAAGGUGAAACAUUGUAAGAAGCAUGAGAGAGAUUCAAAUCAAUGCUACAAAUGUGUCCUCAUCACAGACUACAAUAAUAGAUCCAAAUCCAAAUUUACUACAAUGAAGUAGAUGGAAACAUAAGGGCUAGCAUAGACAGAGUAGCCGGAGAAUCUCUACGCACCACACAUGAGAGAGCAUACCAAACUAUAAAUUAUAUGGCAAUAAACUUGUACAUGUGGCCAAAUGAGAGAUUCACUUAAAGACUCAAACCUCUAACCAUGAAAACAAUUAGUGAAGAAGAUAAAUAUCAACAAAUUUUGGAUAAACAGAAUCGACUAGAAAUGAUCAACAAACCUACAAGGAUAGAGCCAUACAUGGAGAACCAACCGGAGGAUGUUAGCUAUAUUGGUAACAAGGCAAGAAAUCCCUAUUCAAACACAUAUAAUCUUGGUUGGAAAGAUCAUCCGAACCUCAAGUGGGGUAGUAACCAAGGAGGAGGAAAUCAAGUGCAGAAUAGAUUGAAUCCUCCAUACCAACUACCUCAUAUGCAAAGAAUGCAAGAAAUAUCUAUGGGAUAUUGACCGCCUCCAAACGUUCUAAUGUCCAGAGUGUGAAUACUAAAACUGCAGAUAUGGAUUUGAGGCGAUGUCUGCAAGUAUACGGGUCAAGUUGUAAUAUAGUUUUACAAAAAAACAGGUAAGUACUCUGAGGAUCGUACCCCAAUGAGGUGAGUACUAAAUUAAAUUUAACCUAAGCGUAAAUAAAACUAAUUAGUAAUUUAAAUAAACUAUAUUAUGAUAAAACAUAAAGAAUGAAUUUUUAGGUUUUUAUAAAUAAAGAAAUAAAACUACAUAAAUAAAAGGGACUUCAAAAAAAACCAAUUUCUAAACUUAAUCAAAUGUAGACAUGGGUGAUUAGCUCACUUUGGUGAUCAUAACUAAUCCCUAUUUUGGGUUUCUAUUCAAUCAACUAGUCAUUGCCUUAGCAGGAUCUUUCGAUCUUCUACUAAAAUAAUGAGUCAAAAAAACUACUUAUCUCUUAACCUCAUAGUCUAGACCGGUUUGGGGCUAAGGUGUUCACAGAUAGGCCAUACCAAUUUUGGGUUAAUUCCCACCUAUAUGAAUUCCUAGGGUUAUCAAGCCUGAGGUUUAAGUUCUUCCUCUCCCAAAAAAUUGAUCCGCUAAGAAAACCCUACAUAGCAAUUAAUUAAUCACACAUCUACUCAUAAAUCCCCCAUAAGAGGAUUAGUUCCUCGUGGAAUCCAUAAACAUCAUAAACUCAAUAAUAAAUAUAUGCAUAAAGAGUAAAUCAAGAAUACAGUUUAGAGAAUCCUAUUUUUAUUUGAUAGAUGAAGUACAAAAAAUCCACUAGCGUUUGAUCCUUUUUACAAAUCACAUUCCUCGAAGAACACAAAAUAAAAAAGAACUAAAAAUAAACCUAAGGCGCAAAAGAAAGGAAAAUUGAAAACUAAAAUUACAAAGAAAAACUUAAAAUACAAAAAGUUGUCCUAAACUAGUGCUAAAUGAGCCUAUUUAUAUAAUUAGGGUAGUCUUCGUCCCCAACCUUAGCUUAGCUGACAUUCUCGUGUUUAAUUUCCAUUAUCCGGAUCAAAACACCUUUGACUUAUAGUUAAUCUCGUACAGGGGCAGUGUCGCAACAUCGAAAUUAUUAUGCUCAGGUUCAAAGGUGGCUUCAAGGGUGUGUCGCAACAUCCCAUUGUUGUGUCACGACACCAAAGGCAGACUUGAAAUUCUUGUAUUAUGCUCCAAAUGUUCCAAAUUCAAACUCCUUAUGUUGCAACACAGCAACCAGUUUGAGUUCCUAUGCCUUUGAAUGGUCUCCUACACACUUACUAAGUACAUUAGCUUGCCUUUAGGCCUUAUUUGGCCACUAAGGUCAAUAAAACACUCAAAAUACAUUUUUUAUUGAAUUCAAAAUAAAAUAUGAAAACAUAACUAAAACAUAAUAAAACUGUUUGUAUUCAAGCUCCUUAAGUGCAAAAACUAGUUUAAUCUGCUACACAAAAUUAUGACAAAUCAAACUUCCCCGCACUUAAGUCAUUUCUUGUUCUCAAGCAAGGUAAAAUAAAAACAAAAAAUAAAUGACGACCCUUAAGCAAGUAUAGUACUAAGAUAGGUUUUAGGGUACAUAACUAGGCAUUUUCAUAUUUACACAUAAUCCUUGCAUGAUAUAUAAAGAACUUACCACUUUCAAUAUAAAACACAAAGGUUCAAUUUAUUACAAAGUAUAAACACUUUAAGGUUUUCAAAUAUAUUACCUAGGUCACAUAGGGCUUUUCGGGUUGUAAUGUUCUAAGGCUUAGAACAGGUAUGAAAUUCAAGAACAGGAAGCAUAAAAACAGUUUCAAGCAUGAAAAUAGUUUGGCACAUCAUGUUGUUCCCUAUUCUUCCCGUUUAGUAACCUUUACCCGCUCACCGCCUUAUUUCUCCUUCUCUCUCAUUCCUUAUUUCUCCACAUAAGAAGUCAUAGCAUAUUACAACAACUACGACUAGCUUACGAGUUUUUAUGACUAAUGACUGACAUUUUCUACUUUUGUGACUUUUUCACUUUUUUGAUGUUUUUGUACACAUCUCACUCACAAUGCUUUUGCUUUUCAUGUGCUUUUUCUACUCAUUUUGAUUUUCUUUGUAAAUUCUUAUUUUGUCUUGCACAUGUUAGCUAACCUAUAAUUCCAAUAUCACACUGCUUCUUCCUAUUUCACUCUAUUUUUACAAAAUCCACCAUGAUGUAUUUACUUAACCCUCAAUAGGUAUGGUCAGACAUCUAUAUUUUGGCUCGAGUUUUGCAUAAAGUUCAUCAAGAAAUGUCUUUUGGCUCAAAAUAAGGACUAAGGAUUUAUAAACAGGGUUAGCUUUUUUUGCUCUAAGUGUAAACCAAACAAUGCCUUAGGUCAUCCCUAGGUUUUUUAAUAUUCACAAAUUAAAUCAAUCAAACAAUCACAAGUUCAACUAUUUAUCAUUCGUGCUAGCAUGCUCGUUUCCCUUAUUUUCUGUCUCAUUCGGUAUAUUGACUGCCUCUAGACGUACCAACAUCCAAAUUAAAAAUCUUGUACAAAAUAUAUGAAAUAAGCGGUGUUUGCAAGUAUACGAGUUAGGUUGUAAUAGAGUUACAAUAAAGUAGGUAAGUAUUGUAUCGUCACUUGAUUAUGUGCAAGUGUACACAGUCAUACCAGUAAUAAGUAGUAAGUAAAAGAACUAUCGUCUCCACAGGGACUAUGUGGUAAUUAUUUGCAAAGUUGAUUUUUAAUCGAUUUGGUUAAACAAGAUAAAAAAGAAUAAAUUUUGAUGGAAUGUCACAAUUUAAAUUAUAGAAUUAAAUCAAUGUUCAAAUACCCAUAAAACAAAACAACAUACAUUGUAAAAAUGAUCACAACAUGAAAUAAAAACAAGGCAUAAUAUAACAUAACAUGAAUAAACUAAAAUAAAAUAUUUCACUUUAACAAGAAUUCAUUAGUAAUCAUCAAAAGAAUAUUAUGAGAGAUUCGUGGCAAUAUGUGAAUUCAUUAAACUCAUUUUAAUUAAAACAUAAGCUUCUCCCGAAGUCCAAUUAUGUUCCUAAGUUAAUUAGUAUAUUCCUAUGUCAAAAACUAACUUAGAAAUCACCCUCUCGGGAAUUUAAAAAGUUUAUGCAUACAAAAAUUAUCUUCCGAAAUCAAAAUGAUAUGCACAAUUUAGAUUUUAUGUCUAUUAACUAUUACAUCUUCCCAGAUAAAACAGUUAAUUCAAUAAUUUACGAAUGUUAGCCAUACAUUCACAAGUAUAAACAUGUUUUAAACCUAAAUGAAUGAAAUAAUCAUGUGUACAAAAUAUUCAAGAAACAAAUAUCUAAUGAACUCAAAUCAAGAUUCAUAUUUAUUUUGAAUAAAAGAUUAAGUCAUGUCAUAUUAAACUUAAAAUAUAAAGAUGAGAUGCAAUCUUGUCUCUCGACAUAGAAAAAAUAAUUUAACAUAAAGAGAAGGAUAAGUAAGAGUAGCUGAGGGGGAUAUCCAUGGCCAAUUCACAAUAUGAAGAGUAAACAACUGAAUGCAGGGGGCUAUCAGCGCCUGCUCCUUGCAACUUCCCAUGGUGGCUUUCCUCCUCAUCUUUAGGUUAGAAAUCACCUAAACACCUUCAAGUUGAUGUCCUAGCUGCUCUCAUUUUGACAAGUGAUUGCCUUAUUUUGUGGACAGAGUGUCUAGAAAGCCGUGAGAAAGGCAAGAAACACUUAAGAAAGAUUUAACGCCCCUAGCCCGUAGCUAUCGCCAAAACAAUGUUACGAAGCAAUUCCAGGGUUUACGUAUCAAACAGACAGAAAUUUCAAACGUUUUAUAACAUAUCAAUAUUCAUAUUAAAAACAAUCAAAAUCAUAUAUAUUGUCCCUUAUACGAGCCCUCAAGGCUCGAAAUAUGCAUUAUAAACAAGUCGGAACUAAAUCGAAAACUCAGAAAAUUCUCUAAAAACGUAGAAAAAUUUCAAAUUUGCAGGGCUCACACGGCCGUGUGACUCACACGGUCAGGAGACACGCCCGUGUCUCAAGCCAUGUAGGCAUUCAAAAUAGGGACACACGUCCGUGUCUAAGCCCGUGUCCAUGCCCGUGUAACUCAUUGACUUGGUCAGACGACCAAGUCACAUACUCGUGUGCUAGGCUGUGUACCGUUCGAAGUAACCUCACAUGCCUGUGUGCUAGACCGUGUGCUAGGUCGUGUAAUAGCUUGACUUGUAACCCUUUAAAAACUAUAAGGGAUACACGGCUGCAUCACCUAGCUGUGUGUCAUACACGGCUGAGACACAUGCCCCUGUCUCUGCCUAUGUGACAAAAAUAGGCUAUUUAACAAGCCACAUUUCUCACCUAAUAUGGCAUCCACUUACACUUAACAUUGUGCAUAUAAACAAACCAUAUUAUGGCAUCCAAGACAAGCAAAAUCAAGCCUUAAACAUGUAGUAUAUUCACAUACAACCAAUAUGCCCUUAGACACCUCAAAUGACAAUUAUAAACAUAUUUAACCAUGUAAUCCAUGUAACCAAGUAAUCAACCAACUUUUAUGUAUAAUUGCAUUAAUACACAACAUGUAAAUCAUUUACCAAAACUUACCAUUUGGUACCAAUUGUACUACUUAUUCAAUAGCAUCAAAUACAUAUACACUUUCUAUAGCAUAGUACAAAAUCACACCAAGUUAUAAAACAUACCUCCUAUGCAUAUUCAACUACUAUUUUACCUUUCAUCAUUCAACCACAAAUCAUUCCACACAUCAACAUUAUAAGGCAAAUUAUGCACAUACCAAAAUACCAAAACACAAGCCAAAUAAGUGGCUAAUCUAAAAGAAAAACACAUAUAUGCCAACAUUUAGCCAAAAUAACCUAUACAUGCCAUUAUAACCAAAAUCAAAACAUCCAAAAGUACCGAUGGAUAGUGUGAUAUAGCUCCAACAAGCUUCCAACCCAAUCGAGCUUUAGAAAAUCUGAAAAGUAAAGGAAAACAACUACGUAAGUAAUGAAAGUUUAGUAAACUCGUAUAAACUUUAAUCAUAUGAAUUCAUUUCAAAUAUGAAAUUUAUACAUAUCAAGGAUAAUCCAAUAUCAAUACCGCAAGAUUCAUUAAGCUAUAUUCAACAACUGACAAGGUGAAUAAAUCUACAGCAUCACUUAUACAUAUCAUCCUUAGCGUAGUAGGAUUUUAAAUAACUUUAAACCCUUUCCAAUUUUUCUUAUUUUCAUUUGCAUUUCAUUACUUUCCACACUUGUUUCAUAUGCAUAACACAAGAGUCAUAAGCAUAUCAUACAACCAUAGCCAUAAGCUAGUGCAUUUAAACAUAGCCAUUUUUGAAUUAAUCACACGAUAAGCCAUUUUCUAUGAAAUUGCAUAAUUUAAACCUUACCACUCUUUCAUGAGCUCAAGCAUAUUUUCAUUUGAGCACUUACCAUUUCAAUGCAACUUAUAUUUAAACAUAUUACCAUUCAACCAACAGCUUGGCUCUUACCUAGGCAGCAAACAACAACACUUGUUAGCAUACUUGAACAUAUUUCAUAUAAAUUCAACAUUGAUAACAUUAUUAUCCUAACAUGUCACACUUGAGUUUAUUACUCAUCUCAACUUACAUAAUUUCCAUGCAUCAAAUUAUCAAAGAUAUUCAUAUAUGUACAUGUCAUGAUACAUAUCAUUCUCUUACAAUUUAUUCAUAUAAAUAUAUCAUCCAUUUCAAUAUAUCAAUAUAUCAUGUACCAUCAUUUCCAUGUAUUUCAUGUAUAAACAAGUAUUAGUUCGUAUUGGACUUAUGGCUUGAGGAGUCAGCUUUGUUGUAGAUUCUGGAUUAAUCUGAUACUCCACCUGCUUUUGAUUUUCUUUAUUGGAAGAGACUUUAAGAGAUAAGUUAAGUAGCAUAGUAGUUUCAUCAAAAGCAACAUCUCUGCUAAUCACAAUUUUUCUAUUUUCAGGCCACCAUAACUUUUACCCUUUUACACUAGUUUUAUAACCAAGAAAAACACAUUUAAUAGAUCUUGGUUCCAAUUUUCCAUUAUCAACAUGAGCAUACGCAGGACACUCAAAGAUCUUUAAAUCAGAAUAGUUAGCAGGAUUAUCAAACCAUACCUCUUGUGGAGUCUUUUUCUCAACGGUAAUGGAUGGAGAUCGGUUGAUCAAAAAACAUGCAGUAUAGGCUGCUUCGGCCCAAAACGACUUUCGUAAGUUGGCAUUUGACAACAUACACUGAACCUUCUUUAUGAUCAUUCUGUUCAUUCGUUCUGUAAUGUUGUUUUGCUGUGGAGUAUAACAAACUGUCAAAUGUCUCACGAUCCCUUCUGACUUGCAUAGUUUAUUAAACUCAUUAUAAUAGAACUCUAAGUUAUUGUCUGUGCAGAGGUAUUUUAUUUGUUUUCUAGUCUAUUUUUUAAUCAUAGUUUUCCGAGACUUAAAUACAGAAAACACAUCACUUUUCUGCUUCAGGAAGAAUUUCCAAAAUUUUUUGGAAAAAUCAUUAAUAAAAGUUAGCAUAUAAUUAGCUCCACCUCUCGAAGGCACUCUGGAUGGCCCCCACAGAUUAGAAUGAAUAUACUCCAAUGUUCCCUUCGUGUUAUGGAUUCCUCUAGUGAGUCGAACUCUCUUUUGCUUUCCAAAAAUGUUGUGCUUACAGAACUUCAGUUUGCAAAUUCCUUGCCCAUCAAGAAAUCCACUUUUGGUCAAUUCUGUCAUGCCAUUCUCACUCAUAUGCCCUAGGCGCAUAUGCCAAAAUUUAGUAAUAUCAUCAUUUAACAAGGAAAAGGAAGUGAUAGCUGCAUCACCGGUAACAGUAGAACCCUACAAAACAUAUAACUUAGUAGUUUUUCUCUGCCCUUUUAUCACAACGAGGGAACCUUUCGAAAUCUUCAAAACCCUAUUUUCAGUUGUGUAUGUAUACCCUUUUGAAUUAAUAGUACUCAACAAAAUUACAUUUCUCUUCAAUUCUGAAACAUGUCGCACGUCACUAAGUGUUCUGACAACUCCGUCAAAUAUCUUAACUUUAAUCGUUCCAACACCUGUAAUUUUACACGAAGCAUUAUUUCCCAUCAAAACAAUACCUUCAAACACUGUUUCGUAAGUUGUAAACCAAUCCCAAUUGGGACUUAUGUGGAAGGUGCAACCCGAAUCAAGGAUCCACUUCUCGCUCAUAUUAGAAUUGUUGACAGAAGCGACUAGAAAUUCACCAUCACUGUAGUAUUCUACAACAUCAGCUUCACUAGAAUUUUUUACUUGUUUUCCUUUUUGAUUUGUAACCUCCCUUUUGAUCUUAUUUUGUAGCUUAUAGCACUCAAAUUUAAUGUUUCCUUUCUUCUUGCAGAAGUUACAAGUUUUACCUUUGUUUGAAGACUUCGAUCUACCCUUAGAUUUACCGUGAGGAUUCUGUUCUUGUGUCCUUCUAUGAUCAUCAUCAGUAUUCUAUUCUUGUCUCCCACAAACAAUGAGACUCUCUCCGUUAGAGUGGGGUUUAACCACAAAUAUCUUAACUUUAAUCGUUCCAAUACCUGUAAUUUUACAGGAAGUAUUAUUUCCCAUCAAAACAAUACCUUCAAACACUGUUUCGUAAGUUGUAAACCAAUCCCAAUUGGGACUUAUGUGGAAGGUGCAACCCGAAUCAAGGAUCCACUUCUCGCUCAUAUUAGAAUUGUUGACAGAAGCGACUAGAAAUUCACCAUCACUGUAGUCUUCUACAACAUCAGCUUCACUAUAAUUUUCUAGUUGUUUUCCUUUUUGAUUUGCAGCCUUCCUUUUGAUCUUAUUCUGUAGCUUAUAGCACUCAAAUUUAAUGUUUCCUUUUUUCUUGCAGAAGUUACAAGUUUUACCUUUGUUUGAAGACUUCGAUCUACCCUUAGAUUUACCGUGAGGAUUCUGUUCCUGUGUCCUUCUAUGAUCAUCAUCAGUAUUCUAUUCUUGUCUCCCACAAACAAUAAGACUCUCUCCGUUAGAGUGGGGUUUAACCACAAGAUGUUUUAUCUUAUCAUACGAUGUAAGAAUCAUAAACCUCAUCAAUUGUGGGAGACUCACGACUAUAUAAAAUCAUGUCUCUAAAGGUUGAAUAAGAUGGAGGCAACGAACAAAGUAGAGUCAACCCUAGAUUUUCCUUAUCAUACUGAACCUCCAUGGCCUUUAAGUUUGAAAAAAUUUCUUUAAACACUGUUAAGUGUUCGUGCACAGACGCACCUUCCUCCAAACGAUGAGCAUAAACACGCUGCAUCAUAUGCAACUUGCUGGUUAGAGUUUUCGACAUACAUUUUUGCUCCAACAUCUUCCAUAAUGUAGUAGCGGUCUUCUCCUUUAUCACAUCCUACAAAAUUUCGUUAGACAAAUACAAAUGUAAUUGUGUUAAUGCCUUUCGAUCCUUGCACUUCUUCUCUUCAUUUGUUAAUGUCAAAGGCAUCUUAUCUAUCCCUAGCAGGGCAUCCUCCAGAUCCAUCUGCGCAAGAACUACGAGAUGAAUAACCUGGAAGCUCUGAUACCAAUUUAUAAAAAUAGAACGUCGGUAAUGACAAUAUAUCGCAAAGAAAAGAGAAAUAAAAAUAAAGAACACACAGAUUUUUACGUAGAAACCCUUUCGGGAAAAAAACAACGGGCAGAGAAGAAGAAAAUUCACUAUGUCAAAUUCGAAUGAUUACAAGAGGAGUUUUGACUACAUCUAUUUAUAGGUUGAAAAAACCUAAUUCUAAUCAAAUUCAAAUAUAUUAUGCUAAUAAAUGCUAAAUAUAUUAUACUCAUAAAUACUAAAUCUUCUAGAAAAAAGAUAUAUUUUGUUUAACUUGACUUGUAAGCAAUCUCUUAAAAUUUAAGUCACACAACUCUUAACAUAUAUAAAACGAUUGGCUCAACAAUACUCUUAGACCUAUUCAUAAUUCACAUUUGAGCAACUAAAAAAAUUAAAAAAAGAAAUUAUUUAAAUAAUUUUUUUGUUUUAAAUUUAAAUGAUGUAUUCAUUCAUCGUAGGAUUUAAGAUUUGUAUUCAAUUCACUUGAAAUUUUUAUUUAUUUAUUCUUAUUGCUUAAAAAUGCUGGUCCAUACAUUCAUCUUCGAAUAAUUGAGCAUCCAUAUCUGGCUCACGUGGGUUUCCAUUAUCAUUAGGACACGCGGGUGUUUAUAUGAAAUGCUUGAAAUGGUACGCUUGACUUGGAAAAAAAAAAACAAAGCAAAGGGAAAUGAAGAGUGUAUACAUAGAAGAAACAACCAUUGAGAGUGAUAUUAAUAUUUUGAGUAGGUAAAGAUAUUAUUAGAUAGUCGCAUAAAUCGACCUUGUACAUCGUCACCAACUCUAAAACUAGGAUAAUUUUUAGUGAGUACACCACCAUUUCCCUUCCAUUAGCUGAUCCCAACUUCCAUGGCCACACGUCACUUGACUCUGCAAAUGCAACCACACCAAAGUAAAACAUUCAUCAAUUAAUUAAUCAAUAAACUCACUUAAUGUUAUGCAACAAAUUUGGGGCCAUUUUCUUUUUCGUAAUUUCAAUGAAGUCUAGCUUAAAUUAGAUACGAACCUUUUGCAGUCAAUGCUAGGGCUGAUCUUGUAAGGGAUGUGGACGUUGCACUGGCCUGGGAGUCCGGCUGCAACGCCAUAGUUGAUGUCAGAAAUGUCGGCGGCCAGACUUUUGAUGCAUUUACAAGCUGCUUGCCGAUCUAGUCUUAUUCGGGCGGCAGAUUUGAGAGAUCUGAUGCCUUUACAGCAAUUUGGGGGAGCAGGACGAGCAUUAUUACCUCUCACGUAACCAACGCAGGGUAGGAGGGAGGAUUUGACUUGAUCACAGCUUAUGGCCCCUUGAGCCAGGGGUGCAUCCACCAACAAGCACAACACCAC